rnacentral:lncRNA from 1 species
GGGACUCCGCGUAACUCUUUGAGAAGACGACGACCGCGAUCCUCGACCCUUCGAUUUCUCGGUCAAGUUCGCUCUGUAUAUUUUCCCCCCUUCUGAGCUUGUCGUCUGUAAAUGUGUUGAUUCCGGCCUCGCGUAACGCAUAGGAGAGGUGGUUUUGUUGGAAUAUGAGUAUAAAAACAUGAUUGUGGAUUAGCUAUUAUAUUGAAUGAAUUUUGAAUGGAAAAGUCUUGAUAAAGUGUUUGUGUAAAUCCUAUUUCUUGUAGGAUUAUGAGUGUUUUUAGUGUUCCUUUGGGAAAAGGUUUUGGAUCCUUCUCGGAUUGAUCUUGUGCACUCAUUGUGUAAAAGGGUUUCUGUUUAGAGUCCAACACUAAUUCUAAUAGGAGAAUGUGUUGGAUUAAUGCUGUAUAUAACCACAAUCACUGCUCUUGCAAAGAUACGGCUCAUAUUGUGUUGAAUACCUAUUGUUCAAAGAGCUCUUUAGUUUUGCUAAAGAGGAGAAGAUUGUCUGGUGGUGAAGCUGCUAUGGCUUCUUCAAGUUCAAGUUCUGCAGGUAUGUUUUGAUUGGUUUAAUGCUGAGAUUUAUGGUUAUGUUGUUCACAUUGUUUGUUGGUAGUAUUGGUGAUUUAUUGGCAUAUCUAUGAUCUGGGAUGAAGUUCUUACAUGUGGUAUCAGAGCCUGGAAAGAUUAUUGUCAUUAAGUUCGAAAUUUUGUACAACAAUUUGGACAAGAAACCAUAAUCUUAAAACCUAGAAACGCAUAACUUGUUUUUGAGCAUAACAGUAAAAAACGACACCGUUUAAAAAAAAAAAAAAAAUUUAUACCGUUAUGUUCACCGGGUUUGCGUCUUUUGCUUUGCCUUGCAUCUUUUCUUUUUCAUGGUCUCUGGGUACAUGGCGAUUCAAUGAAUGAUUCUGCUGAUUCUCUCUGAUUCUUCUCGAGUCAAUUUCAUUCAUUGAUUUCUCUAAACAGGUAUGUCUGCAAUUUUGAAACUUUAAUUUAGGUUAAAAAACUUAUUUGAACACCGUAUAUAUGCAAAUUUGUUAGCAUCUCGCCAAUUUGAAUCAAAAUUAUCUAAAUGGAUAAACUGAAGAAUUAUUUUAAUGUUUCCGCUGCUAAUUUGUUUGGGUUUAUUGAUUUUUUUUUAAUUUUCAAUGCAUGUGGUGUGAUAUUUGAAUAUCAUCCCUUUCGAGCAUGAUUCUUGAAUGCAAUCUUCUGUGAGUUGUUUACUCUAUAUAUGGUUGUCUUUAUCAAAGUUUGAGACCAUGUGUAUGACAAAAUUGACUCAUUAUGAGGAUUACAUAGUGAAAUAGAUGGAAAUCAUGAAUCCCGAAAAGAUUCAAUGUGAUGAUUUCAUUGUUAUCUUCUGCAGUUUCACUAAAAACAAUGAAUUUGGCUGCUGUACCUAUACUCACUGGUGGGAGCAAUUACAAAAAAUGGAGAAGGGAAAUGGAAUUGCUCUUGACAUUAAAUGAGUAUGAUAUAGCACUUGAUACACCACAACCUGCGCCUCUUACUGAUAAGAGUUCAAAGGCUGAGAAGGUUGAGUUCGAAAGAUGGACAAGAGCUAAUAAAGUGGCAUUAUCCAUUUUGGAGAGCGGGAUGACUGACACUGUUCGUGGAGGUAUCAAAAGGUGGGAUCUAGCAAAGGACUAUUUCAAAGCUAUUGAGAGCAAAUUCAAGGAAUCACAAAAGGCUGAGAUUGCUCAGUAUAUGACCCUUCUCACAACUUACAAAUUUGAAGGUGGUGGUUCAGUCAGAGAUCACAUUAUGAGGAUGACCGAUGCGGCUGAGAAGCUUAAUUCAUUAGACAUGAAUAUUUGUGAAAAGCAGCUAGUGUUCAUGAUUCUGCAAGCACUUCCUUUGAAGUUCAGUCAAUUAAAAGUCUCUUACAACACUCAAGAUAAGUCAUGGACAGUGGAUGAACUGAUAUCUCAAUGUGUUCAAGAGGAAAAUCGACAGAAGCAAGACAAAGGAAAGGAAGCUGAGACCAUCAAUUUUGUGCAGACUUCUAAAAGGAAGGAUCUCAAUGCAUAUUCUGGUAAAUCUCCUCAAUUCAAACAUCCUGAUAAAUCUUUUGUGUCUGCUAAGAAUUCCCAUUCCUCUAAAUCUAACAAUCUUAAAGUUAAAGCUAAAAACAUUGAAAAGGUUAGGUGUCAUCAUUGCAAAACUAAAGGUCAUUAUAGAAAAGAUUGUGAAAUAUUCAAAGAAUGGCUUAGGGCUAAAGGUAGAACUAAUGUAUAUGUCUGUGAGGAAUCAAAUCUCAUUGAAAUUCCGGCAAAUUCCUGGUGGUUUGAUACUGGUGCAUCUGUGCAUAUAACCAAUUCACUGCAUGGUUUUGAAAAACAAAAACAAACAAAUGAUUAUAACGUUUUUGUUGGUGAAGGAACCAGAGUUGUAGUUGAAUCGAUAGGGAAAGUGAAACUAAAAUUGGCUUCUGAAUUUGUGUUGGAACUGUCCAAUGUUUUAUAUGUGCCUGCAAUGAGAAGAAGUUUAAUCUCUGCAUCUAAGUUAGUAGCUGAAGGUGUUAUUUUCAUAGGUGAUAAAGAAUGCAUAAAAUUUUUUCAUAGGGGAGCCUUGAUAGGAAAAGCAGUUUUGCAUGAUCAGUUAUGGAAAAUGCAGUGCACAUUGUUGGACAAUGAGUUAAGUGUUUUAAAUACGACUGCCAAAAGAAUGCAAAAUUUUGACAACUCUUAUAUGUUGUGGCAUAAAAGACUAGGACAUAUUUCGAAGGAAAGGAUCAUGCAAUUAUCAAAAUUAAAUUUCAUACCUGCUUUAGAUUUUCAUAAUGCAUCUGAAUGCAUUGACUGUAUGAAGGGUAAAACCACCAACUUUAGGAAAAUGGAUGCCAAUAGAAGUAAAAAUUUGCUUGAGAUUAUACACACCGAUGUUUGUGGACCUUUUCCUAUCAAAACUAUUUGUGGAAAUUCAUACUUUGUGAGUUUUAUAAAUGAUUUUUCCAGACAUGGUUACAUAUUUCUAAUAAAAGAAAAGUCAGCAGUCCUUGAGUGUUUCAAAAUUUUUAAAUGUGAGGUAGAAAAACAACUAAACCUAGUGAUUAAGAUUGUUAGAUCAGAUAGAGGAGGGGAAUACUUUGGCAGGCACACAGAAGCAGGACAACAAAAGGGUCAUUUUGCACGGUCUUGAGCAGCAAGGUAUUGUGGCCCAGUAUACUACUCCAGGCACACCCCAACAGAAUGGAGUGGCUGAGAGAAGAAAUCGAACCCUGAUAGGAAUGGUUAGAAGUCUAAUUUCAAGAUCAAAGUUGCCUGGUUUUCUGUGGGGAGAAGCAUUGAGGACAUCUAACUAUGUGUUGAAUCGAGUGCCUACAAAAUCAGUGCCUAAAACACCCUUUGAGUUAUGGACUGGCAGAAUACCGAGUUUUAAUCAUUUCCAUGUGUGGGGUUGCAAAGCAGAAGCAAGGUUUUACAAUCCAAAUGAGAGGAAGCUCGACUCUAGAACCAGUUCAUGCUAUUUUGUGGGAUAUUUAGAGAAAUCUAAGGGCUUUAAAUUUUAUUGUUCUCAAUCACAUACAAGAAUCCAAGAGACUCAUAAUGCAAUUUUCUUAGAAGAUCAAGAUAUAUCAGACUUGGUUCAUGAUACCUUUGAGUUUGAAGAGUCAGAACAUCUCGAUGGUUCAAUUCCAAUGGACUACAAUCAUAUCUCGGUGUUGCCUAGAACUCACAUAGAGAAAGAUGAUCUUGAUGAGGAAAUGGCACAAGAAAUGGAUGCUGAAAUACAAAAUGAACAUGAGAAUGCUCCUUGUACACGAGAUCUGUCCUCAAAUGCUCAAAAUUCUCAAGUUGAGGGAAAUACCUGUCAUGAGAAUGAACAAUUGAAUCUGAGGAAGUCCAGCAGAGUCAAGAAAUCAGCUAUUUUGGCUGACUAUGUCUAUCUCCAAGAAGCAGAAUUUGAUAUAGGUGACAUAGAUGAUCCAGUUACCUAUCAACAAGCAAUUCAAUGUCCUCAUGUUGCAUUAUGGAAGAAAGCAAUGGAGGAAGAGUUGGAUUCCAUGUCCAAGAAUAAAGUCUGGACCCUUGUGAACUCUAUUUCAAAUGUCAAACCAAUAGGUUGCAAGUGGGUUUACAAAACUAAAAGGGAUGAUGUCGGGAGAAUAGAGAGAUAUAAGGCUCGAUUAGUAGCCAAGGGCUUCACUCAGAGAGAGGGGAUUGAUUACAAUGACACGUUCUCACCAGUUUCUUCCAAAGACUCUAUGAGGAUCAUCAUGGCUUUAACAUCUCAUUUUGAUCUGGAAUUACACCAGAUGGAUGUUAAAACCGCCUUUUUGAAUGGCGAUCUGCAGGAAGACAUAUAUAUGGUGCAACCUUCCGGAUUUGUUGAAAGGGGGAAAGAGCAUAUGGUCUGCAAACUGAAUAAGUCGAUUUAUGGGCUUAAACAGGCAUCUAGGCAGUGGUUUCUCAAGUUUGAUCAGGUAGUGACCGCUCAUGGUUUUGUUGACAACAAGAUGGAUGAUUGCAUCUAUUUAAAACACAAAGGAUCAAAGUUCAUUUUUCUGGUUUUGUAUGUUGAUGACAUUCUGCUUGCAAGUUCUAACAUACAACUGCUUAAAGAAACCAAGGCUAUUUUAAGCACAAAUUUUGAAAUGAAAGAUUUAGGGGAAGCACAUUAUGUUCUGGGGAUUGAAAUAACAAGAGACAGAAAGAGAAAGCUUCUGGGAUUAUCUCAAAAGGGAUACAUUGAAAGGGUGCUGAACCGAUUCAAUAUGGAGAAAUGCAAUAAGGCAGAUGUUCCAGUUAACAAAGGUGACAAGUUUUCUAAAGAUCAAUGUCCUAAGAAUGAGAAUGAGAUCGAGUUGAUGAAGAUGAAGCCUUAUGCAUCAUUAGUUGGAAGCAUCAUGUAUGCUAACAUUUGUACAAGGCCUGACUUAGCAUUCAUUGUUGGAGUAUUAGGCAGGUUUCAAUCAAAUCCAGGAGAAUCUCAUUGGGUGGCUGCGAAGAAAGUAUUGAGAUAUAUGCAGAAAACAAAAGCUUAUCAGUUAGUUUAUGGCAGAGAUGAUGAUUUGGAGUUGAUUGGAUUUACAGAUUCAGAUCUUGCUGGGGAUAUAGAUGAGAGAAAAUCGACUGGAGGUUAUAUCUUUAUGUUAAAUGAGGGUGCUCCUGGAAGAGUGCUAAGCAAACAAUUGUGUCUACUUCAACAAUGGAGGCUGAAUUUGUUGCAUGUUUUGAAGGGAUGAAACAGGCAGUAUGGUUAAGAAAUUUUGUUGCUGAGAUGAAAAUUGUUAACUCGGUUAAAAGGCCUUUGAAGAUGUUCUGUGACAACAAUGCUGCUGUGUUUUUCUCCAAGAACAAUAAGAGAACUUCGGCUUCAAGACUAAUGGAUGUGAAGUUUCUUAAAGUUAGAGAAAUGGUGAAGAAAGGAGAGAUAGAAAUUCUACAUUUAUCUACAGAGAAGAUGAUUGCAGAUCCUCUUACUAAAGCUUUGCCAAACAGUGUGUUUAAAGCACAUGUUACUAGAAUGGGAAUUUUAGAAGCUUUUGACAAGUGGGAGUGAUUGUGACCAGAUUUGAGAUGGUUUUGGAACUGCAGUGUUGCUUAUGUUACUGCGGUAGGAGAUUUCCUGAGUUAAGUUAGAUGGCAUACUAAUAUCUUGUCUUAGUUAGUAUUUCGCUUUGUUUUUUAUUUAUAUGAAUUCAAUUUUUCCGUAUUGUGAUUAAUUGAUUCAGAUAGUUAGCAUUGCAAUAAAAUAGUUUGAGUUUGCUAGUAAAUCAGUUUGUGAUUUUACUGAAGUAUACUUUGGAACUGUUUAGUAUAUUGUUCUGUUAUGGAUGUUUGUCAUUUAAGCUGAAAUUUUAACUGUGAUUGAGUUGAAAUUGGUUUAAAUGAGUGUGAGUAAUGAAUUUUGGCAUUACUGAGAUUGUUUGCGUAUAACUACAAAAUGCAAAAUUGGAUAUGUUGUAAUUCUUGGAUAAAGUCUGAGAUUGUACAGAUAGAGUCCUGGAGUUCCAUAUUUUGAUAUGCAUAGGUAAUGUUGUAUACGAAGUUAGAAGCUUUAUUCUGGACUUAGUGAUCACUUCCAUGAUUCAUUUAGUUAAUCAUUGUGUCUUUAUACUCAAGUGGGAGAAUGUUGGAAUAUGAGUAUAAAAACAUGAUUGUGGAUUAGCUAUUAUAUUGAAUGAAUUUUGAAUGGAAAAGUCUUGAUAAAGUGUUUGUGUAAAUCCUAUUUCUUGUAGGAUUAUGAGUGUUUUUAGUGUUCCUUUGGGAAAAGGUUUUGGAUCCUUCUCGGAUUGAUCUUGUGCACUCAUUGUGUAAAAGGGUUUCUGUUUUAGAGUCCAACACUAAUUCUAAUAGGAGAAUGUGUUGGAUUAAUGCUGUAUAUAACCACAAUCACUGCUCUUGCAAAGAUACGGCUCAUAUUGUGUUGAAUACCUAUUGUUCAAAGAGCUCUCUAGUUUUGCUAAAGAGGAGAAGAUUGUCUGGUGGUGAAGCUGCUAUGGCUUCUUCAAGUUCAAGUUCUGCAGGUAUGUUUUGAUUGGUUUAAUGCUGAGAUUUAUGGUUAUGUUGUUCACAUUGUUUGUUGGUAGUAUUGGUGAUUUAUUGGCAUAUCUAUGAUCUGGGAUGAAGUUCUUACAGGUUUGUGAACCCAUUGCGUGUGUCCUCACCUCUAAAGCUCAGGAACACCACGUUCUUCCAGCUUGAACGCCGAGAGGAUGACGAACCGACGGCGGCGGCGGUUGCAAGGGCGAGGCUGCCGGUAUUCAUUGAUUUCAAGCAAAGAAGUGAAACUCCUGAUCGUUUCAGUCUAAAGAAAACAAUUCUCUCCCAAGAUUCCCAGCGAAACUCCUGAUUAUUGUUUUGGAUCGCUGGAAGAUGCAAGAGAAGAUGCAAGAUGCGGCUGAGUAGAAAAGAUAGGAGGGAGGGAGAAAAGAAUAUGCUAGGGUUUCUAGUAACAAGGCUUUUCUUACCAUGGGCUUGGAAUUUGGGCUUGAAAUUGGGUAAGAAAAUAAAUACUUACCAUAAAUAAAUAAAUAAAAUUAAUAUAUAUAUUUGGUUCAGUUCGGUUUUAGAAUCGUUGAAACCGAAAUCAAACCACAUGAUUUCGGUUUGGUUUUUUUUUUUUCGGUUUGUUUUUAAGUUUCGGUUCGAUGUAUCGUUCAGUUUUUUUUUUUUUUUUAAAUUUUUUGAAGACACCCUUAAACUCUUAGUUCACGACCAUAUUCUAUUUUAAAGGUGGUGCCCAGGUUGGUUCAAUUGAUGUUGGUAGACGUCAUGAGUUUAUGAACAAAAUGACAAGGUUGCAUUGGACAUGGCACAUGUUUGUGGGUUAUGCAUUGAUUGAAUUGUAUUCUAAAUACGGACUGAUGAGCCGUUUGGCGAUCAAUACUCCAAUUAGGACAACUUCUGAGGACCAAUGCCAACAUUAACAAAACAUUAUAAUAGUAAUAUGUCACCUAUGCGAUAUGCUAACGUUAAAAUCUAAUCAUAAUGAUUCACAUGUGACGAGUUUAUAGUCACGUAAUAUUUUAAUAUUGUAUGUAUAAUUUGUUCUGAAACGUCACGCGAGGAAGGCCCCUUCAGUAUAAGAGCUUUGCAAAACCUUUAGCAUAGAGUGGAAAAAUGACCAACCAAUGUUGGAGAUGAUUUGUUGGAACUAAAUAGACUAUAAAAUAGGUAAAGGUAGUAGGCUAGCGCGUGCUACUGCUUUUUACAAAAUGGGUGGUGGAUGGAGAAUGAGAGCCUACGGACCCUAAUAAGCUUUGACCGCUGGUUUGAUUGGUGGCUAAGAAUUAACAUCUCUUUUUUCUGCAACUUGAAGCACAAUUAGGUUCGAUAUAAGUUAAUACAUGAACCUAAGAAUUUGUAGUGGGAAAUUCAAAAGAUUCUUAAUAACCAAAGAAAUAAUGUAUUAGUUAUGAGUUGUACGUUGUUUUGUAUCUACCACUAAUAGAUUAGACAUCGUCAUCGUUAGUGUUAUCGUCAAACUCAUAUGGUAUAGUAUGAUAGUCCUUCUCAUCGAUAUCAUCAUGCUCUAUAUAAUACACGCUCAUAAUUCACCUUAUUCACUCCUGAAAGAAAAAAAUUGGUAGAAAAGUGCAUAGAGAGAAUUAAUGAAAAGAUAAAAGAGUGGUAUUAUCGGAGAAUGAUUCUAUGUUCUUUCUGUUCACAUAGCUGUGAAUUAUACAUAUUACCAGUUGACUUUGUACAAACAUUUAACUGAUUCAUGUAUUUGCUGAAUGGUCCAAAUUCAUAGUACUUGUCACAUCCCGGCCCGGGCGGGACCAUUUUCUGGGCUCGACUCCGCCGUAGCACGAUAUUGUCCGCUUCGGGCCACGACCACGCCCUCACGGUUUUAUUUUUGGGAAAUCACAUGAGAACUUCCCAGUGGGUCACCCAUCUUGGGAAUGCUCUCGCGCGCUACUCCCUUAACUUUGGAGUUCCGACGGAACCCGAAGCCAGUGAGCUCCCAAAAGGCCUCGUGCUAGGUAGAGAUGAGAAUAUACAUAUAAGGCUUAUAAGAUCCACUCCUCUGAGCGACGUGGGAUGUUACAAUACUCUUUUUAUCUCCUCAAGUGAAACAAAACAAAGAUAGACUCUUAAUUCGUAAAAUUAGUAUAAUUUGAUAAAAUGCGGAACAUUUAUACUUUACACAUUCAUAACAAACGAAGAUUGUAACAUGUGUUUCACUUGCUUAAUCUUGAUGGAAAUUCCCAUGCAAAUGCUAUUCAUUUUAUAAAAUUGUAAUACCAAUUUUAUACAUCUCGUCAAAGAGAGAAAAACACACCACACAAGUGAAAAACCACGAAGAAAACCGACUUGAUUGGAUUCGACACAGGCAACUUAUAGCCACUAGUGUGACUACUAACGAAACUCGAUCUGGUUUUAUGAGAUUAUGAGAUUGUGAGAUUUUUUUUGGGUGACCAAGUGGUUCUUCUGCAUGAAAAGGAGGGAAGUCCUUGCUAAUCUGUAUGCAUCAUGUAACAGCGGGAAAUCGGUGGCGCAAUUGCAUUCUCAAACCCUCAAAGCCGGCCUUUCCUAGGACAGCUUCUUUGCCACAAAACUCAACGCUCUGUACGCAAAAUAUGAGUGCCUCGGUCAUGCCUGCAAGGUGUUCGACGAAACGCCCCACAGAACUGUCUAUCUCUGGAACGCCAUGCUCAGGAGCUACUGUAGAGAGGACCGAUGGGAGGAGACCUUGUGUCUAUUCCAUAACAUGAUGUCUGAGUCAAGAGACAAUGAUGAAAAGCCUGAUAAUUUCACCAUUCCCAUUGCUCUGAAGGCGUGUGCGAGGUUAAGGGCGCUUGCGUGUGGAAAAAUAAUACACGGGUUGGUGAAGAAACAUGAGAAGGUAGCAUUGGAUAUGUUUAUGGGUUCUGCGUUGAUUGAAUUGUAUUCCAAAUGCAGAGAAAUGGGCGAAGUUGUGAAAGUGUUUGAUGAGUUUUCGCAACCAGAUGUGUUUUUGUGGACUUCUAUGGUUACUGGAUAUGAGCAGAAUGGUGAUCCUGAAGAAGCAUUGGAGUUUUUCUACCAAAUGGUGAUGCAUGCGCGCAUUACUCCUAAGUUCCUAACCGAGUGACGCUUGUUAGUGCUGUUUCAGCUUGUGCUCAGUUAUCAAAUUUUACAAUUGGAAGUUGUGUGCAUGGUAUUUCUAUUAGGAACCGAUUCGACUCUGAUUUAUCUUUGGGUAAUGCGUUACUAAAUCUCUAUGGAAAGACAGGUUCUGUCAAAACUGCCACUAGGUUGUUCAUGAAGAUGCCGGAAAAAGAUGUGGUUUCUUGGAGCUCCAUGAUUACGUGUUACACUCAUAAUAGCGAUGUAAUAGAAGCGCUAAAUCUUUUCAACGAAAUGAUUGAUAUGAGAAUCGAACCUAUUUCAGUGACGCUGGUAAGUGCAUUGCAAGCAUGUGCACUGGCAGGUAAUUUAGAAGAAGGCAAGAAGAUCCACGAAAUCGCUACUAGGAAGUGUUUCGAGUUAGAUAUCAAGGUAGCUACGGGCCUGAUUGAUAUGUACAUGAAGUGCUCUGCACCCGAAAAAGCAGGUGAUCUCUUUAGUAGAAUGCCAAAGAAAGAUGUGGUUUCGUGGGCUGCCUAGUUAACCGGGUAUGCUCAUAACGGAAUGGCAUACAAGUCAAUCGGGGUCUUUCGUAGCAUGUUAUCAGACGAAACUCAGCCUGAUGCCGUUGUUAUGGUCAAGCUUCUUGCAGCUUGUUCGGAACUAGGGAUUCGUCAACAAGCUCUCUGUCUCCAUGCGUAUGUGAUUAAACGCGCCUUCAAGAAUAACAUCUUUGUUGGAGCUUCACUCAUAGAGUUAUACUCGAAGUGCGGCAGCAUAGACAAUGCUGUCCUAUUAUUUGAAGGGAUAACAGACAAAGAUGUUGUUAUCUGGAUCGCAAUGAUUGCAGUUUAUGGAGUUCAUGGACAAUGAGAAUAAGCUUUGAAAGUAUUUGACAGAUGGUUAAGCCCUCAGCUGUAAAACCUAAUGAUGUAACAUUUCUCUCGAUUUUAUCUGCGUGUAGCCAUUCGGGUUUGGUUGAAGAAGGCAUCGAGAUAUUCAACACGAUGUUGCAUGAAUACCAACUUAAGCCAGGACUUGAGCUCUACGAGAUAAUUGUUGAUCUUCUUGGCCGGACAGGAGAGCUGGAUAAAGCAAUGGAAAUCGUUGAGAGAAUGCCCAAUCCAGCUGCACCGCAUGUUUGGGGAGCCUUGCUUGGUGCAUGCCGGAUUCAUAACAACACAAAGCUUGGAGAGGUUGGAGCAAAGAGUCUUUUUCGGUUGGAUCCUAAUCACGCAAGGUAUUACAUCCUGUUCUCGAAUAUAUAUGCCAUUGAUAACAAAUGGGAAAAUGUGACAAAUCUCAGAACUUUGAUAAAGGAGAAAGGGUUAAAGAAGAUGUCCGGGCAGAGCGUUUUCGAGGUGGGGAGUGAAGUCUGUAGUUUUGUUGCCGGAGAUAGAUUGCACCUUGAUUCUGAUCAGAUUUAUGGAGUGCUAGGAAAAUUAGAGGUGAAAAUGAGAGAGGAAGGUUAUGUUCCCAAUGUCGAUCUCCGGCUACACGACAUGGCGGAAUGGACAAGAACCAAGCCAGUGUAAUUUGCAAAGCAGCGCUCAUAAGAGCGAGGGAUGUGGACAUGUAGAGGAAAUGAAUCUGGUAGAAUCGAAACAAGAGAUACGUAAGGCUCCCUUGAAAGAAUGUGACCUUUGCAGCGACAAUAUGUGCGUGUGGUACAAUUGCUUAUAAUGCACUAUUCGCUCAUCCUCACUAGCCGACGUGGGAGUCAGCAACUUGGCUCAAAUCUAAACCACUAAGGGCUGGUUUGGUAUUGUUGUGCUUUGAAAAAAAGCUGCUGUGAGAAUAAGCGGUUGUGCUGUGAGAAUAAGCGGCUGUGAAAUAAAUCAGCAGAGUGUUUGGUAAACUUUUUUGUAAAAGUGCUUUUGAAAAAAAAACAGUCUGAUAGUGGGUCUUUUCAUUAAAGGAGCACUGUAGUUCUGUGUGCUUUGAAAAAAAACCAGUUUUCCAAAGCUACAAAUUGCAGCUUCAGCUUUUUCCUUUGAUUUCAGCUUAUUCUCACAGCAGCUUCCAAAAUAAGCCAUUUUUUUUAAGUUUACCAAACACCAAAAACACUCCAAGCUUUUUUUCAUAGGAGUUUUUUUUAAAAUCACCUCAACCCCAAACUGGGGCUAAAACCACCAAUCAAUUGAAUUUCAGAAUGCGUAAGGAAUAAGAAUAUUAUUAAAUAAACGAGAAUGCCGAAGCGGCUAAAAAAUCCUAAGAGGCUACAUUGUGACUAGCUUAUUCUAAACUGAAUAACAAGCAUACUAUUUAUAAUAAACUAACCCUAAUACUAAUGGGCUAAGCCCAAAAAACUAAGCAUUCAAAUAAACCUAAAUAUACUAAUAUUUUCCAACAACCCCGCGUCAAACUCAUGGCGGUAUACGACAUGAGUUUGCAAACAAGCAGAUGCGGACUGGCAGACAUGCAAACUUGACUUGACUUGAUUUGAUUCUUGAUUCUUGAUUCUUGUUGGCAAACUAAUUCUGGUUCAAACUGGCUAGUGUUGAGAGUAUGGAAAGAACCCAUCACUAAAUGGACGAGAUUUUCAUAUCUCAAUUGUAGCUACGAACAAACAAACACAAAUACUAUCACUCGAGUGGUCACAAUUCCAAGUACUCGAAUGACAGUCACAAAACAAUCUCAAACAAGCCAAUAACUCGUGUGGCUCAAAAACAAACUUAACUAUGUUUUUUUUUCUUCUUGCCCGUGUGGGCCUAAAACAAACAACCAAAACUAAUUUCUUUUCCUUUUUUUCCUUCUUAUUUUCUUUUCCACUUUUUUCUUUCUUCACUUUUCUUUUUUUUUCAUUUUUUCUUCAUUCUGGACUGACGCCGUACACCUCCAGCAUUGGUGCAGCGGCGAUGCGAACAAACAGCGACAAGCGGGUGGUUCUAAAGCAGCGGGUACGGCAGUGGUGUGGUGGAUUGCAGGCAACAGUCUGGUGCGGGUUGAGAUCGUGGGUACAGGGGUGCGGAGGAGGUUUUGAUUUCCAGGCUUGCAGAGUGGUGCAAAAACGACGAGCAAGAAUGGGGUCUGUGCAGGCUUGCAGCAAGAGAUCAAAUUCUGGGUUGGACUACAGGCGGUGGGACGGCACAAGACAAGCAGAUGGCGAGGUAGGAUCUGGAGGAGGGGAAGGUUCAUGUUUUUGUUUUCUUCUGCAAACUAAACCAACGACAAAAAACAAGAAUACAUACAUACUGACAAACAGAAUACCAACCCGACCAAGCAGAUUAAAUCCUGAAAGAUUGAACCUGCUCUGAUACCAAGUUGAAUGUUGAAUAUCAGAGUGCGCAACGAACAAGAUUACAAAAUAAUAAGAAUAUUAUUAAACAAACGAGAAUGUCAGAGCGGUUACAAAACCCUAAGAGGCUACAUUGUGACUAGCUUAUUCUAAAAUGAAUAAUAAGCAUACUAUUUAUAAUAAACUAACCCUACCCCUAAAACGUAAGAAACUGAAACCCUAAUACUAAUGGGCUAAUAAGCCCAGAAAACUAAGCAUUCAAAUAAACCUAAAUAUACUAAUAUUUUCCAACACAAUCUCCAUCUUGGUGUGAUUCAAGCCAUGAUGUCUCACGAUCCAAAUGCAAAUAGAGCUCCACCUUGACCACAGGCACCAAAUUCCAAAUGAGCUCGCUCUUCAACUUCAACAAGCGUUGCCUAAGGUCUAAAUACCAAUUGUUGUGCGGAAGCACACCAACGGGUCCCACACACAUGAGUUGGUAUUGCCAACAUUCCACCUACUUUAUCCACACAAAAAAAAACGGAUAUGGAUUUUAUCAAAAAGCCUCGGCAACAUGUUUGUGUGAUCAUUGUUUAUAAAGCACCACAUGGUCAUCCUCAGUGGCCGAUGUGGGACUCAACUUGGCUCAAAUCUAAGCCACCGAACCCAACAUUCAUCAACCAGAAGGAAGAUUGAGUUGAGAAAAUUUGAAAUGUUACACACACUUAUACGCCAUUUUAAGUUUGUCAUACAACUAAAAAUUUAAGUGAAUUGUCAUAUCAAUUUUCCAAAUUCACUAAUUUGUCAUCUCAGCAUAACUUCGUUAAUUUUUUCAUGCAAAUAAGUUGCAAUCUUCAAGAAUUCAACAUGGUCAAUCAUGUCACUAAAAAAAAUAUAUAUUAGAAAUGCCUGAAACCUUGAAAUGUUCGAAAUAAUCUUGAAGUGAGGAGUUGAAAUGUCCGAAAUAAUCUUGAAAACAAGUCAUGUGCAAACCGCAUGACUUAUUUUAAAUGGAAAGCUUAACGGAGUUAGAGUAAUAUGACAAAUUAAUAAUUUCGAAAUAUUGACAUGACAAAACGCUUAAAAUUUUAAUUUAUAUGACAAAUUAAAAAAAGUGUAUAAAUUCAUAUAACAUUUCAAAAAUUUUCCAUAUUGAAUUCGCAGGGUAUGAUUAGUAACAAUUAGAGUUAAUCACAAACAUAUCAAACAACUAGGGUUAAUUAUAGGAGAGAAUGAUGGCAACAAGUGGACGAAAGGUGAAAGGGGAAAUUAGUUUCUUUGAAAUGGGGUGGGGGGGGGGGAGACAGAGAGAGGGAUAAACACGACACACACUAGCAUGUAAAUUUCUCUAAUGUCACUAAUGAAUCAAAUAAAAAAUCAUUAAUUUAUUUGACAAGAAAAUAAGCUACUUAUAUGUUUAAUUACGAACUCGUUUGGCAUUGCUUCGCUAAAAACGCUUCAGUUAAAAGUGUUUUUUUUAUAAGGAAAACUAAUGAAAAGAGCUUAAAAACUUUGAGUUUUAACGAAAAUGACAAAAAUGCGUUGUAAGUGAAUAGUACCAUGAUUGACUUUUUUAGAGUAAAAAUAUGAUUUUUCGUUAAAGUGAACAAUACCAUGAGUGUUUGGUUAAAACUCCCUUUAUUAUACCCACAUCGAAACUCUCAUUAAAAAUUCAAGUACUUUAUAAAAAGACACUUUGGAAUGCUUUACUUCAUUUCCCAAUUGUUUCUUCCUCAUUGGAUGAGUAAUCGCCUAACUCUGUAUCGUAGUCAGAGUCCUCCUCAUCAGACUCAUAGGGUGUAGUCUGCUAGUCCUCCCCCUCAUCGGUAUCUUCAUCAGACUCAUAUGGCACACGCUUAUAGUCCACAUCUAUCAGAUCUGAAGCUACAAAUUUCCUUUCUACGAUAUCCACUCCUGUUUUCUUCACAUUAAUCUGAUGAUCAUCAAAGUAUGCACGCACACGAACCCUGUCGCCACCUUUCAGAUUGAGCUUCAUGUUUGUUAGAUUUCCCAGCCAAAGGUAACAUUCAUGGGAAGCAGUUACGGGGGUCUCCAUUGGCCAAAUGUGAAAACGAGUUCGCUGGGUACGAUUAACAACAUGAAUGCAUAGGGACCCAGUACAGUCUGAGUUGUCCGAAGAAUAAAUGAUGCACACAACCAACCCUCCUAUAUAAUCAAAAGUAGGCGGCACUUCAAUUUCGACAGUUUCAUCCUCUCGCGCGACAUAGGGUAACCGGCGAGGAAUAUCAUUUACAGAGAGAGAAAGUCCACCAAUUACAUCCCCCUCCCAUUUCUACAACACGAGGUGCAAUGUUAGUAUAAGCAACAAUACGAAAAUCAGAGAGGGAGAGUGAAAGUUGCAUACCAAUAGGAUGUUCUCCUUAAAAGUAGCAGUGAGACUGGUGCACCCUUCCAUAUGAAGGGUAUGCAUCUGGCACAAGAAGUUAUCCAGGUUUGGAAUAUCUUUGAGUUUGCGGCAGUCUUUCAGUUGCAAGGCAAUCAUUUCCGACAUCUCUGGAAGGUUGGGCAUAAUUUCCAGUUCAGUGCAGUAAUUCGCUUCCAGUCUACGCAAACUUGUCGGCAAAUCUAGGAUUGCCUGAAGGUUUGUGCAAUGAUUUAGAUACAAACAUAUAAGCUGGGAAAGGCCACUGAGGAUGGGUAGCCUAUUAAAACCAUUUCCAUCUAGUCUUAAAGUCCCUAAAGAAGGUAGACUCCGAAGGCUUUCAAGAAUGGCAUCAUCCGUUAUAUUGCAGUCUUUAAGAUCUAAAUACUGAAGCAUCUUCAGUUGUGCAAAUAAAUGGUAACCCCCAGACACACCCUUACAGCCGUUGAGGCUCAAAUCCUCGAGAUGUGGGAGUUUUGAAAAGUCUGGUAAUUGAGUCAGGCUACGGGAAUGAUGGAGCAGAAGAAACUUCAACUUCUUCGGCAACUGUUUGGCAAAAAGAUAGAACAAAAUCAUAAUCCAUAUUAGAGAGAGAGAGAGAGAGAGAGGAAAGGAUUAAUAAUUUGGUUGAGGUUACCAAACGCAUAUUAGAGAGAGAGAGAGAGAGAGAGAUAGUUCAAUAAUUUGAUAGAACAAAAUCAAAAUCAUAAUCCAUAUUAGAGAGAGAGAGAGAGAGAGAUAGUUCAAUAUAUUCUUCAUCAGGACAAUGAUUUCCAAACGCAUGCCAACUAAGGAGCUCAAGAGCUUCUUCAUCCGUCAUCGCUUGUGCCUUAUAUUUUUUAUCCACCUUCUGUAUAUUCAAUACUUGUUCAUCUCUUGCUAUUAUAAUAAUCCUACUUCCUGAACCAAACGAGUCAUGUUCUAUUGCCAAUUCAUCUAAUUGGUCCGCAUCAUCUAUGUCAUCAACUACGAUGAGUACCUUCAUGCUUCCAAGUCUUUUCUCUAUCUCCCUGGUCCCUUCGGCAACACUACUUAUUUUAAUGUCAGGCCGUUUCAAAAUAUCUCGAAGAAGUUGUUCUUGCAGACUAACCAUAUUUUUCUUUUUACUCAUCACCUCUUCAAGGUAACAUUGACCACGGAAACUAUGAUGGUAUGUGCUAUAAAUGGCUCUUGCAAGUGUUGUUUUACCUAUGCCGCCCAUACCCCAAAUUCCAAUUAUUUGAACAUCAUGUGAACCUCCAACAUCUAAGUAUUUAGUACUGAAUUCUUCCACGCGAAAAGCUAUUCCAACUGAGUGCUUGGCUUCUUUUAAGUCGCUGGUUUUUAUUAGUCCAAUGAUGUCCCCAACAACUUUCUGGAUAAAUACUCCUUCACGGCUGCCAAUUGGAAAUCCAAAUUAUGCAAACAGAUGAUUAAUCAUGCAACAUCAUGAUUCAUAUGAACUAAAGCUAAUUGUACAAGAUGUUGCAAGCGAUUAAAUUUUGUAAAUGAUACCUGUCUGCAGUGGUUUUAAGAUCCUGGCCAACCAAAUCUGCAGAAGCCUUAAGAUCUUUUCUCCACUGCUCCACCUCAUUUGGGUCUUCAUCCCUUUCAUGCUUCUGAAAUGCUUCCAAAACUACCACUCUGUUUCCUCACUUCAGAAGGGUCAACGUCGUAGAAUAUUGGAUAGACUACUUUCUCCUCUUGAUCUUCUCCGCACCUCAUGAUCUUCGACAGCUCCCUCAGGCACCAUCGGGACUCCGCGUAACUCUUUGAGAAGACGACGACCGCGAUCCUCGACCCUUCGAUUUCUUGGUCAAGUUCUCUCUGUAUAUUCUUCCCCUUUCUGAGCUCGUAGUCUAUAAACGCGUUGAUUCCGGCAUCGCGUAACGCUUUGAAGAGGUGGUCUGUGAACCCAGUGCGUGUGUCCUCGCCUCUAAAGCUCAGGAACACCUCGUACUUCCAGCGGUUUGAACGCCGAGAGGAAGACGAACCGCCGGCGGCGGCGGUUGCAAGGGCGAGGCUGCCGGUAUUCAUUGAUUUCAAGCAAAGAAGUGAAACUCCUGAUCGUUUCAGUCUAAAGAAAACAAUUCUCUCCCAAGAUUCCCAGCGAAACUCCUGAUUAUUGUUUUGGAUCGCUGGAAGAUGUGAGAGCAAAAAAUAAUGAAGAAAGAAGAGGGAGAGAAGAUGCAAGAUGCGGCUUAGUAAGAAAAGAUGGGAGGGAGAAAAUAAUAAGAAAAACUGGGAUUGAAAAGAUAAGGACAAAAUUGGUAAAUGAAUAAUAUCAGGUUUGAUUUUUUAGUGUAAAAAUAUGGUUUUUUCUUAAUGUAAACAGUACCGUGGGCUUUUCGUUAAAACUCCCAUAAUAAUAUGCCCACAUUUGUAGUAAGAAGGCUUUUCUUAAAAGACCUAGCUUCUCUGUCCUCCCACUUUCCAUAUACUCUCAUCCUAUUUGUACAGUUACGGUUAAGCCACGUCAACAUUUUGUAUUACUAUUGUUUUUUAUCUUCUCUAUAAAAAAAUCAAUAUAAAAUGUUGACAUGACUUAAUCGUGAUCGCACAAAAAAGAGAAAAUGAAAGUGUAUGAGAAGUGGAAGAGCAAAGAAGCCGGGUCCUUUCUUUAUGGGUUUGAUUGAUUAAGUCUAAUCUACCAAUAUAUUAUAUUGGGUAAAUUACAUAGCAGCCCAUCAGGUUUGAGGUCUAUUGCAAUCUUAUAAAACAUCUUUAAAACAUUUCACUUUCAUAACUCAAGUACUAUUUUAUUUCAAUUUUAUACAACCAUUACAUUUUCCAUCCAUGAAUCUGUUAAAUGCUGACGUAGCUGCCACAUAUAUGCCAUGUGGCUGCCAAAUGUCUACCAUGUGGCAAAUAAAAUAAUUUUUUAUAUUUUUUAAAAAAACCUGAAAUUGGAAGAAGAAGAAAAAAAAAAGGAUUGAACCCCUGCAACCCAGAAGAAGGAGGAAGAAGAAGAAGAGAAGAAGAAAGAGGAGGAGGAGGAAGAAGAAGAAAAAAAAAAGAAUAAAAAAAGAAAGGACUGAACCCCAUGCAACCUAGACUGACGUAGCUGCCACAUAUAUGCCAUGUGGCUGCCAAAUGUCUACCACGUGGCAAAUAAAAUAAUUUUUUAUAUUUUUUAAAAAAACCUGAAAUUGGAAGAAGAAGAAAAAAAAAAGGACCGAACCCCUGCAACCCAGAAGAAGGAGGAAGAAGAAGAAGAGAAGAAGAAAGAGGAGGAGGAGGAAGAAGAAGAAAAAAAAAAGAAUAAAAAAAGAAAGGACCGAACCCCAUGCAACCCAGAAGAAGAAGGAGGAAGAAGAAGAAGGGAAGAAGAAGAAGAGAAGAAGAAGGAGGGGGAGGAGGAAGAAGAAGAAAAAAAAAGAAAAAAAAAAGAAAUGGACCGAACCCAGAAGAAGAAGGAGGAAGAAGAAGAAGAGAAGAAGAAAGAGGAGGAGGAGGAAGAAGAAGAAGAAGAAAAAAAAAAAAGAAAGGGACCGAACCCAGAAGAAGAAGGAGGAAGAAGAAGAAGAGAAGAAGAAAGAGGAGGAGGAGGAAGAAGAAGAAGAAGAAAAAAAAAAAAAAAGGAUGAUCAAACCCCUUGCAACCUAGAAGGAGGAAGAAAAAGAAGAGAAGAAGAAAGAGGAGGAGGAGGAAGAAGAAGAAGAAGCAAAAAAAAAAAAAAAGGAUGAUCGAACCCAUUGCAACCCAGAAGAAGAAGGAGGAAGAAGAAGAAGAAGAGAAGAAGGAGGAGGAGGAGGAGGAAGAAGAAGAAGAAAAAAAAAAAAAGGAUCGAACCCAGAAGAAGAAGAAGAAAGAGAAGAAGAAGAAGGAAAAAAAAAAAAGAUAUGUGCCAGACAGGUUUUUUCAAAAAAAAAAUAAAAAAUUAUUUUAUUUGCCACGUGGCAGACAUUUGGCAGCCACGUGGCAUAUAUGUGGCAGCCACGCAUUUAACAGAUUCAUGGAUAGAAAAUGUAACGGUUGUAUGAAAUUGAAAUAAAAUAGUACUUGAGGUAUCAAAGUGAAAUAUUUUAAAGAUGUUGUAUAAGAUUGCAAUAGACCUCAAACCUGAAAGACUACUAUGUAAUUUACCCUAUUAUAUUUAAUAGGCCUUAUUGUUCUUAUAGGUAGUCAUUGUCGACGGCAACGCGAGCAUUAUUCAAUCAAAGCAUAUAAUCAGUUUUUAAUUAAGGUGGAUUAGCUGUUCUUAUUGGUUUGAAACAUUCAAACUAUUAAAAUAUAAUAUAGUUUUGAAUAAUUGCUAGUGGACGUAUUAAACGAGAGUGCGAGAGGCACGAUAACGAUUCUUAUUGUAAAAUUUAAUCCAUAACACAUGAUGCAAAUUAAAUAAAUACAUAUUCAUAUAGGCCAUGAAAUUUAUAAAUCAAGACGUGCUCAAUCAUCAAAUUUAUUAAAAAUUUCUAAGUACCUCAUUAUUUUGUUUGGAUUGAUCAGUUGACCCGAUUAAAAUGCCCACCCUACUUGAGAACCUGCAUUCACAUCGAAUAUGAGAACUUGGCUAGGUCUUGUCCAUGUCCUUAGUACAAUUAUCCAUUAAUGGUCAUAUAUAAUGUAAUGUCAUUUUUUUUUUAACGAUCAUAUUUGACCAUCAAUAAAUGAUUGCAAUAAGUACUUCAAUCCCUAGCUAAUAUUAUUAAACUCGAAUCACAACGUUUACAUCCAAAGUCAGAGUAUUAAACAACUCUUGCUCCACGGCUACCUAGUGUCCCCAUUAAAAUUGAAAGAAGGCUAGAUGUGCUCUUAGCAAAUUAUUAUUGGCACUUCAAAAUUCUCAUUUUGCACUUCAAAUUUUCUAUAAUUAGAAAGAAAAAUAUACUUGUGAGGAGUGUAGAAUGAGAUUGUUGAACUGCUAAUAACAGUUCUCUAAAUAAAUAAAUAAAAUUAAUAUAUAUUCGGUUCGGUUUUAGAAUCAUUGAAACCGAAACCAAACCAAAUGAUUUCGGUUUGAUUUGAUUUUUUGUUCAGUUCGUUUUUUAGGUUUCGGUUCAAUGUUCCGUUCAUUUUUUUUCCCUAUUUUUAAUCCACCCUUAGUUCACAACCUUAUUCUAUUUUAAAGGUGGUGUACAGGUUGGUUCAACUGAUGUUGAUGGACGUCAUGGGUUUAUGAACAAACAUGACAAGGUUGCACUGGACAUAGACAAGAUUGCAUUGGACAUGGCACAUGUUUGUGGGUUUUGCAUUGAUUGAAUUGUAUUUUAAAUGCAGACAGAUGAGCCAGAGUUUGGCAAUCAAUGCUCCAAUUAGGACAAAGUCUGAAGACCAAUUCUAACAUUAACAAAACAUAAUAAUAGUAAUAUGCCACUUAUUCAAUAUGCUAACAUUAAAAUAUAAUCAUAAUGAUUCACAUGUGACGAGUUCAUAGUCACGUAAUGUUUUAAUAUUGUAUGUAUAAUUUUUUGAGAGACAUCACGCCACGAAGGCCGUUUCAGUUUAAUAGCUUUGCAAAACCUUUAGCAUAGAAUGGAAAAAUGACCAACCAAUGUUGGAGAUGAUUUGUUGGGAGGAACAGGAAAACUAAUGAAAAGGGUUUAAAAACUUUAAGUUUUAACGAUAAGGACAAUAAAAAAGGUAAAGUGAAUAGUACCAGGAUUGACUUUUUAGUGUAAAAAUGUGGUUUUUCGUUAAAGUGAACAGUAUCAGGAGUUUUUUGUUAAAGUUCCCCUAACUAUAACUAUAAAACAGGUAAAAGGCAGUAGCCUAGUGAAGUGCGUGCUACUGCUUUUUACUAUAUUUUUUUCGUAAUAGGAAAAAUGAGCGGUGGAAAGAGGAUGAGAGCCUACGGACCCUAAUGAGCUUGACCACUGGUUUGAUUGAUGACUAAGAAUUAACAUCUCUUUUUUUGUGGCUUGAAGCAUAAUUAGGUUUGAUAUAAGUUAAUACAAGAAAGUAUGAACCUAAGAAUUUGUAGUGGAAAAUACAAAAGAUUCUUAAUAUACCAAAGAAAUAACGUAUCAGUCAUCAGUUGUACGUUGCCUUGUAUUUGUCAUUGAUGGAUUAGUCAUCAUCAUUGUCAAUGUCAUCGUCAAACUCAUAUGGUAUAGUAUGAUAAUCUUUCUCACCAGUAUCAUUAGGCUCUAUAUAGUACAUGUUCAUAAUGCACCAUAUUCACUACUGAACGAAAAAAACUAUAGGAAAACAAAAAUUGGUAGAAAGUGAGAGACUUAGUGAAAAAGAAGAGAGUGGUAUUUUGGGAGAAGGAUUCUACGGUCUGUAUGUUCACAUAGCUGUGAAUUAUACAUUUUACAAUUUGACCUUGUACAAACAUUUAAGUGAUUCAUGUAUUUGCUGAAUAGUUCAAAUUCAUCGCACUCUUUUCAUCUCCUCAAACAAAACAGAACAAAGAUAGACUCUUAAUUCAUAAAAUGUGGAACAUUUGUCCUUUUACAUGUACAUAAUAAAAGAAGCAUGUAACAUGUGUUUCACUUGCUUAAUUUGUCGGAAGUUCUCAUGCAAAUGUUGUGCAUUUUAUAAAAGGGAACUGUUAUUAGCACUCUAAAAAUCUCAUUUUAUACUCCUCACAAGUGUAUUUUUCUUUCUAAUUAUAGAAAGUUUGAAAUGCCAAAUAAGAUUUUUAGAGUGCUAAUAACAAUUUCUUUUAUAAAAGGCUUUUUAUAUUAGCACCCCACAAAAUGUUGAAUGCACCUCACAUUAAAAUUUAAUAUUAAAUAACUUAUAUAUCCUACUAUGCAAUGACAGUUUUGACCUUGUUAGGUUAAAAAAAUUAAAAAUUCUAUAUACACCCCAAAUCACUCUUAACGUAUUAUUUAUCUUCUUCAACUAUCAAAACCCAUCCAACCCUCCAUUGUUGAACAAAACCCUAACCAAUAAAACUACAAACAUGUUGAUUGAGAAAAAUUAUUUUUGACGAAUGAAACACAAAAUCAAUGUUUCGGAAGCUUCACAUGCGGUAGACUUCAUAUUAAUUAUUGUUUUAGUGAUUUUGACAACAUCAAUAAUUAUUUAAUCUUGCUUUUGAUGCGUUAUUCAAGCUUCUAUGUUCGUAUUCAUCUUUUAGGGAUCAUAGGGAUUACAUGAAGAAUUAAACACCUAAAAUUACCACCAAAUAUUAAAAACAGACGACAUGAGUUUUAAUGGUAGAAUUAAAAACAACCCACAUAUGCUUUAAAUCCCAGGCGGCAUCUUUUGUCAAACUUUUAGUCUGCAUAAUUUGUUCAAAUUAAAAGCUUUGUAAGAUUUGAGAAAUGUGGGGUGUAUAGAAAAUAUGGAGUUUUAACGAAAAACCCACGGUACUGUUCACUUUAAAGAAAACCACAUUUUUACACUAAAAAGUCAAACAUGGUACUAUUCAUUUUACCCUUUAUUUUGUCUUUAUCGUUAAAACUCAAAAUUUUCAAUCCCUUUUCAUUAGUUUUCCUUAGAAAAUAUGGGGUGCAUAUAGAAAAUGUAAGGUGUAUAUUAAGAAUGUGGGGGUGUGAGGGUAUUAUGGAAAAGUAUGCGUGGUGUAUUAAGAUAAUUUUUAAUUAAAAAAACAAAUGUGGGGUGUAUUAAGUAUAUGGAGUUUAUUCAACAAUUUGUGAGGUGUUAAUAUAAUAAGCCCUUAUAAAAUUGUAAUACCAAUUCUAUACAUCUCGUCAAAGAGAGAUAAAAACACGCCACACAAGUGAAAAAAACGAAGAAAACCGACUUGACGGGAUUCGACACAGGCAACUUACAGCCAGUGGCCACAAGUGUGACUACCAACGAAACUCAAUCUGCUUUUAUGAGAUUGUGAAAUUCUUUGGGAACUUUAACGAAAAGUUUCCGGUACUGUUCACUUUAACGAAAAACCACAUUUUUACACUUGGUACUAUUCACUUUACCCUUUAUUUUGUCCUUAUCAUUAAAACUUAAAGUUUUCAAGCCCUUUUCAUUAGUUUUCCUAAAUUCUUUUGGGUAACCAAGUGAGUCUUCUGCAUGAAAAUGAGGGAAGUCCUUGCUAAUCUGCUUGCAUCAUGUAACAGCGCGGAAUCGGCGGCGCAAUUGCACUCUCAAACCCUCAAAGCCGGCCUUUCCCAGGACAGCUUAUUUGCCACAAAACUCAACGCUCUGUACGCAAAAUAUGAGUGCAUCGGUCAUGCCCGCAAGGUGUUCGACGAAACGCCCCACAGAAUUGUCUAUCUCUGGAACGCCAUGCUCAGGAGCUACUGUAGAGAGGACCGGUGGGAGGAGACCCUGUGUCUAUUUUGUAGCAUGAUGUCUGAGUUAAGAGGUAAUGAUGAAAAGCCUGAUAAUUUCACCAUUCCUAUUGCUCUGAAGGCGUGUGCGAGGUUAAGGGCUCUAGCGUGUGGAAAAAUAAUACAUGGGUUUGUGAAGAAACAUGAGAAGGUUGCAUUGGAUAUGUUUGUAGGUUCUGCAUUGAUUGAAUUGUAUUCCAAAUACGGAGAAAUGGGCGAGGCUGUGAAAGUGGUUGACGAGUUUUUGCACCCGGAUGUGUUUUUGUGGACUUCUAUGGUUACUGGAUAUGAGCAAAAUGGUGAUCCUGAAGAAGCAUUGGAGUUUUUCUCCCGAAUGGUGAUGGUGGGGCGCAUUAAUCAUGACCGAGUGACGCUUGUUAGUGCUGUUUCGACUUGUGCUAAGUUAUCAAAUUUUAGAAUUGGAAGUUGUGUGCAUGAUGUUUCUAUUAGGAACGGGUUCAACUCUGAUUUAUCUUUAGGUAAUGCAUUGCUAAAUCUCUAUGCAAAGACGGGUUCUGUCAAAACUGCCGCUAAGUUGUUCAUGAAGAUGCCGGAAAAAGAUGUGGUUUCUUGGAGCUCCAUGAUUGCGUGUUACACUCAUAAUGGGGAUGUAAUAGAAGCGUUAAAUCUUUUCAACGAAAUGAUUGAUAUGAGAACCGAACCUAAUUCAGUGACUCUGGUUAGUGCAUUGCAAGCAUGUGCACUGGCAGGUAAUUUAGAAGAAGGUGAGAAGAUCCAUGAAACUGCUACUAGGAAGUGUUUCGAGUUAGAUAUCAAGGUAGCUACAGCCCUGAUAGAUAUGUACAUGAAGUGCUCUGCACCCGAAAAAGCAGGUGAUCUCUUCAAUAGAGUGCCAGAGAAAGAUGUGGUUUCGUGGGCUGCCUUGUUGAGCGGGUAUGCUCAUAACGGAAUGACAUACAAGUCAAUUGGGGUCUUUCGCGACAUGCUAUCAGACGAAACUAAGCCUGAUGCGUUGCUAUGGUCAAGCUUCUUGUAACUUGUUCGGAAUUAGGGAUUCUUCAACAAGCUCUCUGCCUCCAUGCUUAUGUGAUUAAACGUGCUUUCAAGAAUAACAUCUUUGUUGGAGCUUCACUCAUAGAGUUAUACUCGAAAUGCGGCAGCAUAGACAAUGCUAUCCUAUUAUUUGAAGGGAUAACAGACAAAGAUGUUGUUAUCUGGAGCUCGAUGAUUGCAGGUUAUGGAGUUCAUGGACAAGGAGAAGAAGCUUUAAAAGUAUUUGAUCGGAUGGUGAAGCACUAAGAUGUCAAGCCUAAUGAUGUAACAUUUCUCUCGAUUUUAUCUGCGUGUAGCCAUUCGGGUUUGGUUGAAGAAGGCAUCGAGAUAUUCAAGACCAUGUUGCCUGAAUACCAACUUAAGCCCGAACCUGAGCACUACGGGAUAAUUGUUGAUCUUCUUGGCCGGAUAGGAGAGCUGGAUAAGGCAAUGGAAAUCGUUGAGAGAAUGCCCAAUCCAGCUGCACCGCAUGUUUGGGGAGCCUUGCUUGGUGCAUGCCGGAUUCACAACAACACAAAGCUUGGAGAGGUUGCAGCAAAGAGUCUUUUUCGGUUGGAUCCUAAUCAUGCAGGAUAUUACAUCUUGCUCUCGAAUAUAUAUGCCAUGGAUAACAAAUGGGAAAAUGUGACAAAUCUUAGAACUUUGAUAAAGGAGAAGUGAUUAAAGAAGAUGUCCGGGCAGAACGUUGUCGAGGUGGGGAGUGACAUCCGUAGUUUUGUUGCCGGAGAUAGAUUGCACCUUGAUUCUGAUCAGAUUUAUGGAUUGCUAGGAAAAUUAGAGGCGAAAAUGAGAGAGGAAGGUUAUGUUCCCAAUGUCGAUCUCCUGCUACAAAAAAACAUGGCGGAUGCUGUCUAGAUUUGAAGUGCUGAGAAAUUUCUUGUAUGGAAAGUUUCGACUCACAUGAAAGAAAGGCGUAAUGAUAUGGACAUACUCUAGGAUUGUGAUGUUUUUCUAUCAAAUUACUUACAUAAAUUUCAUGAAAAUAUGUAGUAAUUACUUGUAUCAAUGAGCAGUGCCUUCUUUUCCAGAAGCAAGGACAAAUUCCACAUACAGAUUCUUGAAGGCAAUCACCACUGUCAUCAGCAGAGGACCCAUAAUCUGUUAAAACCCACCCCCAAAUAAUUGGAAAAUUUGAUAUUUCCACCCCCAUUUGCCACGUGUCAAUCAUCCAAACCCCUUCUUUUCCCUCUCUCUCUUCCCUCACCCCCGUGACUUCUCUUUUCUUCCUGUCUCUCUCUGUACUCUGUCCCUCUCAACUCUCCCGAAGCUCUCACUCUCCCGUGCAUCUCUCUCCCUCAACCUCUCUCGUAUCUCUCUCCCUCUGAACUCGAGUGGACCCUAGCAUUCCCAGGAGAGACCUGUAGCGAACCAGGGAUCCCUGCCCUGCGGCUCGAUGGCACGGAGCAAAGCUCCGGCGGCUUCUCUUCCUUUUUCCCGUCGGGUAGGUCUCAAAUCUCUCACUCUCGUACCUAGUUCUUGGUUUGGUUGUGAUUUAGAAGCUUGAACCUUACCUUUUUACGUAGGUUUUUUCUUCGGAACGGUCGUGGGUGAGCACACCCACUUUUCUGGUGAACCCGUACACCCCAAGGACUUUUCCGGUCAGCUCCGCCCUUCUCUCUCGGCAAGCCACAGGCCAACCGGCCUCUCCCAUUUCCUUCGCGGGCCUCCAGCCCGUUUUGUUUAAACCCAGUACCCUAACCCAUUCCCUUUUUAUUUUUAGUUUUAGUCCUUAAAACCCAAAAGGCCACGGGCCUUAAUGUUGAAAGGCCUAGGGCCGGUUAUGUCCUAAGGGCUUAAAGCCCUGUUUUCGGUAGUGAGGCCCGAGGGCCUUAUGCUUAUGUGUGUGUGUGUGUGUUUAAGUUUAUAUGUUUGGGCUUAAGCCCAAACCCCCUUUCCAUCCUUUUAAAUCCAAAAGGCCUAGGUUCCCAAAACCCAUUAAAAAACCCUAAAACCCAUCCUAUCCCAAAUCCCCUAAUUUAAUUUAUUAGAACCCAAUCUUUUAGAAAAUCCUUUUAAUUAUUAAUAUUACAUUCUUGUUCUUAGGUAAAAUUGCUAGUGGAGAAAUUGUAUAUCCUUAUUCGCGCGACUCUUCUGCUAAGGAAUAUUUGUGAGUGGACCCCUUCUAAAAUUACAUGAUUUGAUAAUUUAAUUGCAUAAAUGAUUAGCAUGCCUACGAAUUUAUAAUUUGAUUUAUGUGAAGCCUGUUAAUUAAAUAUAUUGAUUAUCGUCUCGUGUUUUGGUGAGGAAUUAAUUGUUAGCCUAUACUGAGCUAUAUUUCAAUAUAUCGUAUUUUCUAUAAAAACCAUGAACUGGUAGACUAUCUGACAGAUGACGAUAGAAUGCUAGAACAUGAUUUUGAACCCUCUUUAUAGCGUAGACGAUAUUCGGUAACCUAUGCUAUGAAGUGGUUAUUUAAGAGAGACGUAACUAUUUGUGCGUACCUAGUGGACACUAUGCCGCCUGGGGCGAGGAUCUGGUGUUGGCAUUUGGGCCGGGAGAAUUAAUCCCUAGCAAAAGGCUGAGGGACACGGAGACAGGCAUUGGGCCGGGAGGGAGUUAUCUCUGGCCACGGGCACAGAGACUGAGGUGCAGGCAUUAGGCCGGGAGUUAUAUUUAUUCAGUGAUCUUUCUAGCAGCACACCGCGCUUACGAGACGAUUUAUGAGACGUUUGAUAUUUCGAUUUCCACGAUGCUUUUCCGCGAUUUAUGGCUUUUGAGAUAUUUUUGGCAUGCUAGGAUUUUAGUAAAUCCAUCAUUUAUUAUGCUAGUAGUUUUCAUUAUAUAACUUUGGGGGUUAGUAUUUUAAUAACUGUUUUAUUAUUAUUGUAUAUACGAACUUGGUCCACUCACCUUUGUUUUGCGCCCCCAUUCAGGACAUAGAGCCGAGGCAUACAAUCCUGGCUUGAAUGCAUUUCCGCAGCAGCAAUCUUCGGAUCCUCUCGAUGUAGGACCCACUCCUUUAUUCAUUAAAUUUUAUCUUAAUUCUUCUUAGUGAUUAGGUUUAGUUGUAUGCUCUGAGCACGUUCCUAAACUGUUAACUCAUUGUAUUUCAAAAUUCUAACCUUCAUUUAUUUCUUAUUCUUAGCUUUUGUAUCAAUUAAUGGCUUUCGUCACCCCCGGAUGUCGGCCAGCACGUGUCGGUCCUGGUAUUCGGGGAAUAUCAGGGUCGAGGCGUGUCAUAAUCGCUCCCUGUAAUUUGAUCGGAAAAACGCAAUGUGUGUGGUACAAUUGCUUAUAAAGCACUACACGCUCAUCCUCACUAGGACUCAACAACUUGGCUCAAAUAUAAACCACUAAAAUCACCAAUCUCCACCUUGGCGUGAUUCAAGCCAUGAUGUCCGAUCCCAACGCAAAUAGAGCUCCACCUUGACCACAGGCACCAAAUUCCAAAGGAGCUCGCUCUUCAACUUCAACAAGCAUUGCCUAAGGUCUAAUACCCAUUGUUGUGCGGAAGCACACCAACGGAUUCCACACACACGAGUCGGUAUUGCCGAUAUUCCACCUACUUUAUCCACCAGAAAAAAGGGAUAUGGAUUUUAUCAAAAGGUCUCGGCAAUAUGACAAUUUAAAAAAAAAGUGUAUAAGUUCAUAUAAUAUUUCAAAAAAAUUCCAUACUGAAUUUGCAGGGUAUGAUUAGUAACAAUUAGAGUUAAUCACAUACAUCAAACAACUAGGGUUCAUUAUAGGAGAGAAAAUGAGGGCAACAAUGGGAGCAGACGAAAGGUGAAAGGGGAAAUUAGUUUCCUUGAGAUGGGGGAGACCAAAAUAGGGAUAAACACGACACGCACAUUUGCAUAUAAAUUUCUCUAAUGUCACUAAUGAAUCAAAUAAAAAAAUCAUUAAUUUUUUUGAUAAGAAAAUAAGCUAUAUAUAUGUUUAAUUAAGAAUUCGUUGCAUUGCUUCGCUAAAAAUGCUUCAGCUAAAAGUGCUUUUAUUAUACACUUAGAAAUGCUUUCUUUCAUUUCCCAAUUGUUUCUUCUUCAUCGUCAAAGCUUUCAAUAUUGAGAUCAGAACCUUAAAUCUUUCGCAAUCUGAAGCUUAACUCUGUAUCGUCGUCAGUGUCCUCCUCAUCAGACUCGUAUGGCACACGCUCAUAGUCCACAUCUGUCCAAUCUGAAGCUAUAAAUUCCCAUUCUACGAUAUCCACUCCUGUUUUCUUAACCUUAAUUUGAUGAUCAUCCUCUGUUUCAAUAAAGUCUGCAUGCACACGAACCUUGUCGCCACCUUUCAGAUUGAGCUUCUUGUUUGUAAGAUUUCCCAGCCAAAGAUAACAUUCAUGGGAAGCAGUUACGGUGGUCUCCAUUGGCCAAAUGUGAAAACGAGUUUGCUGGGUACGAUUAACAACAUCAAUGCAUAGGGACCCAGUACAGUCUGAGCUGUCCGAAGAAUAAAUGAUGCACACAACCAACACUCCUAUAUAAUCAAAAGUAGGCGGCACUUCAAUUUCGACAGUUUCAUCCUCUCGCGCGACAUAGGGUAACGAACGAGGAAUAUCAUUUACAGAGAGAGAAAGUCCACCUUCUACAUCCCCCUUCCAUUUCUACAACACGAGGUGCAAAGUUAGUAUAAGCAGCAAUACGAAAAUCAGAGAGGGAGAGCGAAAGUUCCAUACCAAUAGGAUGUUCUCCUUAAAAGUAGCAGUGAGACUGGCGCACCCUUCCAUAUGAAGGGUAUACAGGUUGCACAAGAAGUUAUCCAGGUUUGGAAUAUCAUUGAGUUUGCGGCAGUCUUUCAGUUGCAAUUCAACCAUUUCCAACAUCUCUGGAAGGUCGGGCAUUAUUUCCUAGGACAAUUAGAGAGGAAGGUUAUGUUCCCAACGUCGAUCUCCUGCUACACGACAUGGUGGAUGCUGUCUAGAUUUGAAGUGUUGAGAAAUUUGUUGUCGGGAAAGUUUCGACCCACAUGAAAGGCGUAAUGAUGGACAUACUCUAGGACUGUGAUGUUUUUCUAUCAAAUCACUUGCAUCAAUUUCAUGAAAAUAUGUAGCAGUUACUUGUAUCAAUGGGCAGUGGCUUCUUUUCCAGAAGCAAGGACAAAUUCUACAUACAGAUUCUUGAAGGCAAUCAUCACUGUCAUCAGCAGAGGACCCAUAAUUGCUCCCUGUAAUUUGAUCGAAAAAAACGCAAUUCAAACGUCGUCAAAAGUAAGGUUUAGAAAAGAGGAAUUACUUCCAACAUGGAGGGGAAAAGAGCAAUGCCCCCAAGUAUGCUAAGGCCGGUGAGGUAGGCGAUCUGUCCCGGAAUCUCAUCUUGGAUAGCUGCUGUGCCGUAUUCCAACAGAAUCUGAUGAACUGCCGUCACCAAGCCGGUGUAAUUUGCAAAACAGCGCUCAUAAGAGUAAAGGAUGUGGACAUGUAGAGGAAAUGAAUCUGGUAGAAUCGAAACAAGAGAUACGUAAGCCUCCUUUGAAAGAAUGUGACCUUUGCAGUGGCAAGAUGUGUGUGUGGUACAAUUGCUUAUAAAGCACUACACGCUCAUCCUCACUAGCCGAUGUGGGACUCAACAACUUGGCUCAAAUCUAAACCACUAAAACCACUAAUCUCCAUCUUGGCAUGUCUCACUAUCCAAAUGCAAAUAGAGCUCCACCUUGACCACAGACACCAAAUUCCAAAUGAGCUCGCUCUUCAACUUCAACAAGCGUUGCCUAAGGUUUAAAACCAAUUGUUGUGCGGAAGCACACCAACGGGUUCCACACACACGAGUCGGUAUUGCCGAUAUUCCACCUACUUUAUCCACCACAAAAAAAACGGGUAUGAAUUUUAUCAAAAAAAACCUCGGCAAUAUGUUUGUGUGAUCAUUGCUUAUAAAGCACCACAUGGUCAUCCUCGGUAGCCGAUGUGGGACUCAACUUGGCUCAAAUCUAAGCCACUGAACCCGACAUUCAUCAACCAGAAGGAAGAUUGAGUUGAGAAAAUUUGAAAUGUUAUACACACUUAUACACCAUUUUUAGUUUGUCAUACAAUUAAAAAUUAAGUGAUUUGUCAUAUCAAUUUUCCAAAUUCACUAAUUUGUCAUCCCAACAUAACUUCGUUAAGUUUUUCAUGCAAAUAAGUUGCAAUCUUUGAGAAUUCAACAUGGUCAAUCAUGUCGAUAAAUUUUUUUUUUUUUUGAAAUGUCCGAAACCUUUAAAUGUUUGAAAUAAUCUGAAGUGAGGAGUUGAAAUGUCCAAAAUAACCUUGAAAAAAAGUCAUGUGCAAACCGCAUGACUUAUUUUAGAUAGAAAACUUAACAGAGUUAGAAUAAUAUGACAAAUUAAUAAUUUCGAAAUAUUGAUACGACAAAUUAAAAAAAGUGUAUAAGUUCAUAUAACGUUUCAAAAAAUUUCCAUACUAAAUUUGCAGGGUAUGAUUAGUAACAAUUAGAGUUAAUCACAUGGGAGUGGACGAAAGGUGAAAGGGGAAAUUAGUUUCUUUGAAAUGGGGUGGGGGGAGACCGAGGAAUAAACACGACACACUUGCAUGUAAAUUUCUUUAAUGUCAUUAAUGAAUCAAAUAAAAAAUCAUUAAUUUAUUUGAUAAGAAAAUAAGCUACUUAUAUGUUUAAUUAAGAACUCGUUUAGCAUUGCUUCGCUAAAAACGCUUUAGCUAAAAGUGCUUUUAUUAUACCCACAUUGAAACUCUUAUUAAAAAUUCAAGUACUUUCUAAAAAAGACACUUUGGAAUGCUUUCUUUCAUUUCCCAAUUGUUUCUUCUUCAUCGUCAAAGCUUUCGAUAUUGAGAUCUGAUAAACUCAAAUCUUUUGCAAGGUUGGACCUCAUCAGAUGAGUAAUCGCUUAACUCUUUAUCGUAGUCAUCAGACUCAUAUGGUGCAGUCUGAUAGUCCUCUUCCUCAUCAGACUCAUAUGGUGCAGUCUGAUAGUCCUCUUCCUCAUCAGUAUCUUCAUCAGACUCAUAUGGCACACUCUUAUAGUCCACUUUUAUAAAAUCUUAAAGUACAUAUUCCCAUUCUAUGAUAUCCACUCCUGUUUUCUUCACCUUAAUUUGAUGAUCAUCCUCUGUUUCAAUAAAGUCUGCAUGCACACGAACCUUGUCGCCACCUUUCAGAUUGAGCUUCUUGUUUGUAAGAUUUCCCAGCCAAAGAUAACAUUCAUGGGAAGCAGUUACGGUGGUCACCAUUGGCCAAAUGAGAAAACGUGUUCGCUGGGUACGAUUAACAACAUGAAUGCAUAGGGAUCCAGUACAGUUUGAGUUGUCCGAAGAAUAAAUGAUGCACACAACCAACCUUCCUAUGUAAUCAAAAGUAGGCGGCACUUCAAUUUCGACAGUUUCAUCCUCUCGCGCGACAUAGGGUAACCAGGGAGGAAUAUCAUUUACAGAGAGAGAAAGUCCAUCAAUUGUAUACCCCUCCCAUUUCUACAACACGAGGUGCAAAGUUAGUAUAAGCAACAAUACGAAAAUCAGAGAGGGAGAGCGAAAGUUCCAUACCAAUAGGAUGUUCUCCUUAAAAGUAGCAGUGAGACUGGCGCACCCUUCCAUAUGAAGGGUAUACAUGUUGCACAAGAAGUUAUCCAGGUUUGGAAUAUCUUUGAGUUUGCGGCAGUUUUUCAGUUGCAAUCCAACCAUUUUCGACAUCUCUGGAAGGCCGGGCAUUAUUUCCAGUUCAGUGCAGUAAUUCGCUUCCAGUCUACGCAAACUUGUAGGCAAAUCUGGGAUUGCCUGAAGGUUUGUGCAAUGAUUUAGAAACAAAGAUGUAAGCUGGGAAAGGCCACUGAGGAUGGGUAGCCUAUUAAAACCAUUUCCCUCUAGUGUUAAAAUCCUUAAAGAAGAUAGACUCCGAAGGCUUUCAAGAAUGGCAUCAUCCGUUAUAUUGCAGUCUUCAAGACCUAAAUACUGAAGCAUCUGCAACUGUGCAAAUAAAUGGUAACCCCAAGACACACUCUUACAGCCGUAGAGGCUCAAAACCUCGAGAUGUGGGAGUUUUGAAAAGUCUGGUAAUUGAGUCAGGUUACGGGAAUGAUUGAGAUAAAGAACCUUCAACUUCUUCGGCAACUGUUUGGCAAAAAGAUAGAACAAAAAUCAUAAUCCAUAUUAGAGAGAGAGAGAGAGAGAGAGAGAAUGACUGUCGACUGAUGUUGGUAUUUACAAACACGGACGAGGAAAGGAUUAAUAAUUUGGUUGAGGUUACGACAAUUAUAUGUAUCGUACCAGAUCGGAAUCCUCCCAAACUCGGACAAGCUUGCUGUACCUCAAGUCAAUAAGAACUAAGUUUCGUAAAUCAAAAUCAUCGGGUAUGACCUCUAGAGGAAAUCCCUGCCAACGCAAUAAUCUUAACUCCUUGGAAAGAUGACGGUAGCUUCCAGUGAGCUUUACAUUUUUGAGUCGGAGAAAUUUCAGAUGCCGCAUCUUCUUAAAUGCUUUUGUCCGGAAGGGAUGCUCAUCAGAAUUUUCUGGCAACUCUAAAGUUAGCCCUCUAAUUGCUUCCGUUCCCUGUUGGGGGAAAACAAGAACAAAUCUAAUUCAAGCAGAGCCAUGACUAUCUAUGAACGAACUACAAAUGCAGCGCAUACAAUGCAUUAGAUGUGGGAUAUGCAUAUGCUUCUGUUUAUUUACAUACAUUCAACAUAACAUUUUUAUUGGGAUUUGGGAAAGCACUUACAGAUUCGUCUCUUAACACGCUUGUUACGUCUUCAUGAUGCCAUAAUCGACUACGUUUUCCAGGUUCCAUAGCACAUUCUGCCCGCACAAUUUCUCUUCCCAUGUCUCGAAUCAAAUCAUGCAUCCUAAUGAAUCCUAAAUCAAAAUCUACAAGACAUCGAUCUUGAAUGGUUUUGAAUUCUGAUUCUACACAAAAGUGACUGCAACUAUCCAAUAUUGCCACGACUUCAGUUUCAUCCCGGUUAAUAAAGAAAUGAGAUAUGUCAAGGACACACCUUUCACAUGAUCAUCACUUAGCCCGUCAUAGCUUAAUCUAAGUGUUUCAUGAAUUUUUCCAUCAGGAAUAUUUCUCAAUUUUUCCAAUGUACUUUUCCAUAUGCUUUUACUCUUUUUCGUAGCCAACAAACGGCCUACGACUUUAAGAGCUAGCGGCAAUCCUCCACAAUAAUCGACAACAUCUGUUGCGAGUUCAAUAUAUUCUUCAUCAGGACAAUGAUUUCCAAACGCAUGCCAACUAAGGAGCUCAAGAGCUUCUUCAUCCGUCAUUGUUUGUGCCUUAUAUUUUUUUUCCACCUUCUGUAUAUUCAGCACUUGUUCAUCUCUUGUUAUUAAAAUAAUCCUACUUCCUGGACCAAACGAGUGAUGUUCUAUCGCCAAUUCAUCUAAUUGGUCCGCAUCAUCUAUGUCAUCAACUACGAUGAGUACCUUCAUGCUUCCAAGUCUUUUCUCUAUCUCCUUGGUCCCUUCGGCAACACUACUUAUUUUAAUGUCAGGCCGUUUCAAAAUAUCUCGAAGAAGUUGUUCUUGCAGACUAACCAUAUUUUUCUUUUUACUCCUCACCUCUUCAAGGUAACAUUGACCACGGAAACUAUGAUGGUAUGUGCUAUAAAUGGUUCUCGCAAGCGUUGUUUUACCUAUGCCGCCCAUACCCCAAAUUCCAAUUAUUUGAACAUCAUGUGAACCUUCAACAUCUAAGUAUUUAGUACUGAAUUCUUCCACGCGAAAAGCUAUUCCAACUGAGUGCUUGGCUUCUUUUAAGUCGCUGGUUUUUAGUAGUCCGAUGAUGUCCCCAACAACUUUCUGGAUAAAUACUCCUUCACGCCUGCCAAUUGGAAAUCCAAAUUAUGCAAACAGAUGAUUAAUCAUGCAACAGCAGGAUUCAUAUGAACUAAAUGCCUUAUGCAUCACGACAUGGCUGAUUAGUGAGUAUCCCAAAAGCUAAUUGUACAAGAUGUUGCAAGCGAUUAAAUUUUGUAAAAGAGGAAAUUAGAAAUGAUACCUGUCCGCAGUGGUUUCAAGAUUCCGGCCAACCAAAUCUGCAGAAGCCUUAAGAUCCUUUCUCCACUGCUCGACCUCAUUUGGGUCUUCAUCCCUUUCAUGCUUCUGAAAUGCUUCCCCAAAACUACCACUCUGUUUCCUCACUUCAGAAGGGCCACUCUGUUUCCUCACUUCAGAAGGGUCAACGUCGUAGAAUAUUGGAUAGACUACUUUCCCCUCUUGAUCUUCUCGGCACCUCAUGAUCUUCGACAGCUCCCUCAGGCACCAUCGGGACCCCGCGUAACUCUUUGAGAAGACGACGACCGCGACCCUCGACCCUUCGAUUUCUUGGUCAAGUUCUCUCUGUAUAUUCUCCCCCUUUCUGAGCUCGUAGUCUAUAAACGUGUUGAUUCCGGCAUCGCGUAACGCUUUGAAGACGUGGUCUGUGAACCCAGUGCGUGUGUCCUCGCCUCUAAAGCUCAGGAACACCUCGUACUUCCAGCGGUUUGAACGCCGAGAGGAAGAGGAACCGCCGGCGGCGGCGGUUGCAAGGGCGAGGCUGCCGGUAUUCAUUGAUUUCAAGCAAAGAAGUGAAACUCCUGAUCGUUUCAGUCUAAAGAAAACAAUUCUCUCCCAAGAUUCCCAGCGAAACUCCUGAUUAUUGUUUUGGAUCGCUGGAAGAUGUGAGAGCAAAAAAUAAUGAAGAAAGAAGAGGGAGAGAAGAUGCAAGAUGCGGCUGAGUAAGAAAAGAUGGGAGGGAGAAAAUAAUAACAAAAACUGGGAUUGAAUUAAGUUUUCAACAGACAAAAUAAAUACUAAAGUGAAUAUAUCAGGUUUGACUUUUUAGUGUAAAAAUAUAGUUUUUUGUUUAAGUAAACAGUACCGUUGACUUUUUGUUAAAACUCGCAUAAUAAUAUACCCACAUUUGUAGUAAGAAGGCUUUUCUUAAAAGACCUAGCUUCUCUGUCCUUCCACUUUCCAUAUACUUUCAUCCUCUCUUAUUUGUACGAUCACGGUUAAGUCACGUCUACAUUUUAUAUUCUUAUUAUCUCUAUAAAAAAAUCAAUAUAAAAUGUUGACACUUAACCGUGAUCGCAAAAAAAAAAAAGAAUGAAAGUGUAUAAGAAGUGGAAGAGCAGAGAAGCCGGUCCUUUCUUUAUGGGCUUGAUUGAUUAAGUCUAAUCUACCAAUAUAUUAUAUUUAAUAGGCCUUAUUGUAUAGGUUGUCAUUGUCGACGGCAUCGCGAUCAUUAUUCAAAGCAUAUAAUCAGUUUUUAAUUAAGGUGGAUUACUGUUCUGAUUGGUUUGAAACAUUCAAACUAUUAAAAUGUAAUAUAGUUUUGAAUAAUUGCUAGUGGACGUAUUAAACGAGAGUGCGAGAGGCACGAUAACGAUUCUUAUUGAAAAAUUUAAUCCAUAACACAUGAUGCAAAUUAAUUAAAUACAUAUUCAUACAGGCCAUGAAAUUUAUAAAUCAAGACGUGCUCAAUUAUCAAAUUUAUUAAAAAUUUCUAAGUACCUCAUUAUUUUGUUUGGAUUGAUCAGUUGACCCGAUUAAAAUGCCCACCCUACUUGAGAACCUGCAUUUACAUCGAAUAUGAGAACUUGGCUAGGUCUCGUCCAUGUCCUUAGUACAAUUAUCCAUUAAUGGUCAUAUAUAAUGUAAUGGCAUUUUUUUUUCGAACGACCAUAUUUGACCAUCAAUAAAUGAUUGCAAUAAGUACUUCAAUCCCUAGCUAAUAUUAUUAAACUCGAAUCGCAACGUUUACAUCGAAAAUCAGAGUAUUAAACAAUUCUUGCUCCACGGUUACCUAGUGUCCCCAUUAAAAUUGAAAGAAGGCUACAUGUGCUCUUAGCAAAUUAUUAUUGGCACUUCAAAAAUCUCAUUUUGCACUCCAAACUUUCUAUAAUUAGAAAGAAAAAUAUACUUGUGAGAAGUGUAGAAUGAGAUUGUUGGACUGCUAAUAACAGUUCCCUAAAUAAAUAAAUAAAAUUAAUAUAUAUUCGGUUCGGUUUUAGAAUCAUUGAAACCGAAACCAAACCAAAUGAUUUCGGUUUGAUUCGAUUUUUUGUUCAGUUCGUUUUUUAGGUUUCGGUUCAAUGUUCCGUUCAUUUUUUUUCCUAUUUUUAAUCCACCCUUAGUUCACGACCUUAUUCUAUUUUAAAGGUGGUGUACAGGUUGGUUCAACUGAUGUUGAUGGACGUCAUGGGUUUAUGAACAAACAUGACAAGGUUGCACUGGACAUGGCACAUGUUUGUGGGUUUUGCAUUGAUUGAAUUGUAUUUUAAAUGCAAACAGAUGAGCCAGAGUUUGGCAAUCAAUGCUCCAAUUAGGAUAAAGUCUGAGGACCAAUUUUAACAUUAACAAAACAUAAUAAUAGUAAUAUGCCACUUAUUCAAUAUGCUAAUAUUCAAUCUGAUUUUAAUGAUUCACAUGCAACGAUUUCAUAGUCACAUGAUGUUUUAAUAUUGUAUGUAUAAUUUUUUUAGAGACAUCACGCGACGAAAGGCCAGGGUUCUGCUGUCCCGAACUUUGUGUCUCCUGCCAUGUCUCCUUCUAAUUAUGUCAUUUAACUUAACUCCCAAUUUAACAGUGUCAACUUUUCUUAAUUAAUAUUUAUUUAAAUACAAAAACUGAUUCCCCAAAGAAAAUUGAAAAUCAAAACAAAAAGAAAACAAAUCCCAACUGGAAGUCCGAAAGUCUGCAGCUCCCUCCAAUCUCAGUCGGCGGCAAUUCACACGGCCGUUGAAGCUUCCAUUACACUCUCUUUCUAUAUCUCACCAGCGAAGUCCCGUAGGAUGAUUGAGUCAAACCUUCCCGUAUAUUAUGAUCUCGCCGUUUAUUGUCAUCGAGUCGAUUCAAAUCUCGUUUCUAUAGAUUGACCAAAUUUCUUCCUUGCUUCCUCAAACCAAAAAUUACAUAAAAUUUGAUGUUUGACGGGCCGGGUUGAUCACGAUUGGGUAUUUGAACGGAGAAAAAAAUGGCGAACAGAGAGAAAAGGAGGUUUCGCCAGCCGUGGAGUUCUCCGAUGACAGACCGAUGUUGUUGGCUGUCGAAUUGGUGUUGAUGGGAAUUUGAGUGGCUGUUGCUUUUAAUUUUUUAACUUUUAGUUUUUAUUUAUUUAACCUUAUUAAACAUUUUUUGACAAAAAAAGCCUUAUUAAACAUUUGACACUGUUAAAUUACAAGUUAAAUUAAAGGGUAUAAUUAGAAGGGGACAUGAAAGGAGACACAAAUUUAGGGACAUCAAAUCCCUGGCCGUGUAAAGAGGAUGAGAGCCUACGGACCCUAAUGAGCUUGACCACUGGUUUGAUUGAUGACUAAGAAUUAACAUCUCUUUUUAUGUGACUUGAAGCACAAUUAGGUUUGAUAUAAAAUAAUACAAGAAAGUAUGAACCUAAGAAUUUGUAGUGGAAAAUACAAAAGGUUUUUAAUAUACCAAAGAAAUAACGUAUCAAUCAUGAGUUGUACGUUGUUUUGUAUUUGUCACUGAUGGAUUAGUCAUCGUCAUUGUCAAUGUCAUCGUCAAACUCAUAUGAUAUAGUAUGAUAAUCCUCCUCACUAGUAUCAUUAGGCUCUAUAUAGUACACGUUUAUAAUGCACCAUAUUCACUCCUGAACGAAAAAAGUAUAGGAAAACAAAAAUUGGUAGAAAGUGAGAGACUCAGAGCAGUUCCACCGGAGCUUUGUUUGCCCAUCACCCAGUAAAAAAAAACACACUGAGGGUCUGUCCAUUCACUUCAGCCAACAAAGUUGCCUGACACCCAACCCAAGCCAGGCAACAAACCAGCCCAUUUUUGACAGACCCAAGAGCCGGCCUAUUUGGCUGGCGCGUGGCCGCGAGUAGGAGACAAGGUUGCAGAGGGCUGUCAACCCACUUGUGCUCCGGAGCCCCAUUAGUGACGUGGCAUGUUCAUAGCCGUUGGAUUUCCAACAGUAAAAAAAAUUUAAAAUUUACUUUUAAACUGGACCGUCCGAUCACAAAUCAACGGUCCACGUUUUUUACCCCAAUACAGAAAAUUUUUAAUAAAUUUAGAUAUUAUUAUUAUUAUUAUUUUAUUUUUUAUAAAUUCAGAAAUUAAAAAUAAAAUUAUUAUUUUAUAAUAAAAAUACUAAUAUUUUAAUAAAAUGGACUAUGCUAUUCUUUGUUAGGGGUGGAGAUGCUUUGGCCUAUUACUAUUCACUGAGGUCUAUUACUGUUCACUUGAGUAGAUAAAUGCGCUGGGUGCUGGCACAAAGUCCUUAGGGGUGGACUUGCUCUUAGUGAAAAAGAAGAGAGUGGUAUUUUGGGAGAAUGAUUCUACGAUCUGUAUGUUCACAUAGAUGUGAAUUAUACGUAUUACAAUUUGACCUUGUACAAACAUUUAGGGCACGUUUGUUUGGCCGGCUUAAGUUUCACUGGACUGGACUACUAAGCUAGAAUCAGUAGUCCUGUGUUUGGUGUAAAUUGGGAUUGUGUUUAAUGGGAUUAAGCCGGACUCGUGCCGACUAAAUUCUUCGCUAGGUGGGCUUAGCGAGAGCCACCAAAAACGAGGGGAUUUGUAGUCCCGCUUCUGUUCUUCUCUUCACCUCAUGUUGCUUCGCUUCACCCCAGGCUUGAACGACAACUUGCGGUCCCUUUCUCUGACUCUCUCUCUCUCCUCCUCCCUCUUCUUCAUCUCAGAAGAUCUCCAAAUCUGCAAUUUUGGGUUUGACGGAAACGAAUCCAAGAAAUCCAAGCCAUAGCCGUCUCUCAUUUCCCCGACUCCACAAACCCUGACUCGUUGCCGAACAGCUUGCCAGGCAUUGUUGCAGGCUGGUUCCGCCGCUCCACAGGCUUGCGGCUCCGAUUGAAUCCACGGACUUGGAAAGCUCUCUCCAGUUGUAAUCUUGCACCGAACAAAAACCUGAAAAACCAAGCUCGAUUCUUCGUUUUGCAGAAAAAAAAUUUGGCAAUUAAUCGGAAAAAAAGAGGACAGGAAUGAGAGAGUGGGACGGAGAGAACGAGGGAGAUAAAGAGGGAGAAAAGGAUGAGGCUUCCACAGAGAGAGGGAGAGUUUUAUUAGAAUAAAAAAGGUAGAAUUAAUUAAUAUAAUAUUAUUAGAUAUGAAUUAAAAAAUAUAAUAUUGUAGUUUGCUAUUAUCCUUCUUUUUAGUCCGACACUGCACCAAACGCUUCACUAAGUUAGUCCAGCUUAGUCUAGUCUAAGUCAGUCCAGCUUAGUCCCUGAAGCUAGUCCAGUCUGAGAUAGUCCGGUGCAACAAACGCACCAUUAAGUGAUUCAUGUAUUUGCUGAAUAGUUCAAAUUCAUCGCACUCUUUUCAUUUCCUCAAACAAAACAGAACAAAGAUAGACUCUUAAUUCAUAAAAUGUGGAACAUUUGUCCUUUUACACAUACAUAAUAAACGAAGCAUGUAACAUGUGUUUCACUUGCUUAAUUUGUCGGAAGUUCUCAUGCAAAUGCUAUGCAUUUUAUAAAAUUCUAAUACCAAUUCUAUACAUCUCGUCAAAGAGAGAUAAAAACACGCCACACAAGGGAAAAAACGAAGAAAACCGACUUGACUGGAUUCGACACAGGUAACUUAGAGCCACAAGUGUAACUACCAACGAAACUCAAUCUGGUUUUAUGAGAUUGUGAGAUUCUUUUGGGGUUACCAAGUGAGUCUUCUGCAUGAAAAGGAGGGAAGUCUUUGCGAAUAUGCUUGCAUAAUGUAACAACGUGAAAUCAGCGGCGUAAUUGCACUCUCAAACCCUCAAAGCCGGCCUUUCCCAGGACAGAUUCUUUGCCACAAAACUCGACGCUCUGUAUGCAAAAUAUGAGUCGCUCGGUCAUGCCCGCAAGGUGUUCGAUGAAACGCCCUACAGAAGUGUCUAUCUCUGGAACGCCAUUCUCAGGAGCUACUGUAGAGAGGACCGAUGGGAGGAGACCUUGUGUUUAUUUCGUAACAUGAUGUCUGAGUCAAGAGGUAAUGAUGAAAAGCCUGAUAAUUUCACCAUUCCCAUUGCUCUGAAGGCGUGUGCGAGGUUAAGGGCGUGUGCGAGGUUAAGGGCGUUCGCGUGUGGAAAAAUAAUACAUGGGUUUGUGAAGAAACAUGAGAAGGUUGCAUUGGAUAUGUUUGUAGGUUCUGCAUUGAUUGAAUUGUAUUCCAAAUGCGGACAAAUGGGUGAGGCUGUGAAAGUGUUUGACGAGCCGACAUUCACCUCUCCUAGACCCUACGUAAAGCGGGAGCCUUGUACACUGGUACGACCUUUUAUGUGUUUUUGUAUACUUUUAUGGUUACUGGAUAUGAGCAGAAUGGUGAUCCUGAAGAAGCAUUGGAGUUUUUCUCCCGAAUGGUGAUGGUGGGGCGCAUUAAUCAUGACCGAGUGACGCUUAUUAGUGCUGUUUUGGCUUGUGCUCAGUUAUCAAAUUUUAGAAUUGGAAGUUUUGUGCGUAGUGUUUCUAUUAGGAAUGGGUUCAACUCUAAUUUAUCUUUAGGUAAUGCGUUGCUAAUUCUAUAUGCAAAGACAGGUUCUGUCAAAACUGCCGCUAGGUUGUUCAUGAAGAUGCCGGAAAAAGAUGUGGUUUCUUGGAGCUCCAUGAUUGCGUAUUACACUCAUAAUGAGGAUGUAAUAGAAGCGUUAAAUCUUUUCAACGAAUAUUGAUAUGAGAACCGAACCUAAUUUAGUGACUCUGGUAUGUGCAUUGCAAGCAUGUGCACUGGCAGGUAAUUUAGAAGAAGGUAAGAAGAUCCACGAAAUUGCUACUAAGAAGUGUUUCGAGUUAGAUAUCAAGGUAGCUACAGCCCUGAUUGAUAUGUACAUGAAGUGCUCUGCACCCGAAAAAGUAGGUGAUCUCUUCAAUAUAAUGCCAAAGAAAGAUGUGGUUUCGUGGGCUGCCUUGUUGAGCGGGUAUGCUCAUAACGGAAUGGCAUACAAGUCAAUUGGGGUCUUUCGCGACAUGUUAUUAGACAAAACUAAUCCUGAUGUCGUUGCUAUGUUCAAGCUUCGUGCAGCUUGUUCGGAAUUAGGGAUUCUUCAACAAGCUUUUUGCCUCCAUGCUUAUGUGAUUAAACGCGCCUUCAAGAAUAACAUCUUUGUUGAAGCUUCACUCAUAGAGUUAUACUCGAAAUGCGGCAGCAUAGGCAAUGAUGUCCUAUUAUUUGAAGGGAUAACAGACAAAGAUGUCGUUAUCUGGAGUGCAAUGAUGGCAGGUUAUGGAGUUCAUGGGCAAGGAGAAGUAGCUUUAAAAGUAUUUGAUCGGAUGGUUAAGCAUUCAAAUGUCAAGCCUAAUGAUGUAACAUUUCUCUCGAUUUUAUCUGCGUGUAGCCAUUCGGGUUUGGUUGAAGAAGGCAUUGAGAUAUUCAACACGAUGUUGCAUGAAUACCAACUUAAGCCAUGACCUGAGCAGUACGGGAUAAUUGUUGAUCUUCUUGGCAGGACAGGAGAGCUGGAUAAGGCAAUGGAAAUCAUUGAGAGAAUGCCCAAUCCAGCUGCACCGCAUAUUUGGGGAGCCUUGCUUGGUGCAUGCCGGAUUCAUAAUAACACAAAGCUUUGAGAGGUUGCACCUAAGAGUCUUUUUCAGUUGGAUCCUAAUCAUGCAAGGUAUUACAUCUUGCUGUCGAAUAUAUAUGCCAUCGAUAACAAAUGGGAAAAUGUGACAAAUCUCAGAACUUUGAUAAAGGAGAAGGUGUUAAAGAAGAUGUCCGGGCAAAGCGUUGUCGAGGUGGGGAAUGACAUCUGUAGUUUUGUUGCCGGAGAUAGAUUGCACCUUGAUUCCGAUCAGAUUUAUGAAGUGCUAGGAAAUUUAGAGGUGAAAAUGAGAGAGGAAGGUUAUGUUCUCAAUGUCGAUCUCCUGCUACACAACAUGGCGAAUGCUAUCUAGAUUAGAGCGAGGGAUGUUGACAUGUAGAGGAAAUGAAUCCGGUAGAAUAGAAACAAGAGAUACGCAAGGCUCCCUUGAAAGCACUACACGCUCAUCCUCACUAGCUGACGUGGGACUCAAUCACUUGGCUCAAAUCUAAGCCACCAAUCUCCACCUUGGCGUGAUUCAAAUGCAAAUGCAAAUAGAGCUCCACCUUGACCACAGACACCAAAUUUCAAAUGAGCUCGCCCUUCAACUUCAACAAGCGUUGCCUAGGGUCUAAUACCAAUUGUUGUGCGGAAGCACACCAUCGGGUCUUACACACACGAGUCGGUAUUGCCGAUAUUCCACCUACUUUAUCCACACAAAAAAGGGUAUGGAUUUUAUCAAAAAGCCUUGGCAACAUGUUUUGUGUGAUCAUUGCUUAUAAAGCACCACAUGGUCAUCCUCAGUAGCCGAUGUGGGACUCCACUUGGCGCAAAUCUAAGCCACCGAACCCAACAUUCAUCAACCAGAAGGAAGAUUGAGUUGAGAAAAUUUGAAAUGUUAUACACACUUAUACGCUAUUUUUAGUUUGUCAUACAACUAAAAAUUUGAGUGAUUUGUCAUAUCAAUUUUCCAAAUUCACGAAUUUGUCAUCUCAACUUAAUUUCGUUAAGUUUUUUCAUGCAAAUAAGUUGCAAUCUUUGAGAAUUCAACAUGGUCAAUCAUAUAACGGAGUUAGAGUAAUAUGACAAAUCAAUAAUUUGUAAAUAUCGACAUGACAAAACGCUUAAAAUUUUAAUUCAUAUGACAAAUAAAAAAAAGUGUAUAAAUUCAUAUAACAUUUCAAAAAAAAUUCCAUACUGAAUUUGCACGGUAUGAUUAGUAACAAUUAGGGUUAAUCACAUACAUCAAACAACUAGGGUUAAUUAUAGGAGAGAAAAUAAGGGCAACAAUGGGAGUGGACGAAAGGUGAAAGGGGAAAUUAGUUUCUUUGAAAUGGGGUGGGGGGAGACCUACAGAGGGAUAAACACGACACAAACUUGCAUGUAAAUUUCUCUAAUGUAACUAAUGAAUCAAAUAAAAAAUCAUUAAUUUAUUUGAUAAGAAUAUAAGCUACUUAAAUGUUUAAUUAAGAGCUCGUUCGGCAUUGCUUCGCUAAAAACGCUUCAGCUAAAAGUGCUUUUAUUAUACCCACAUUAAAUCUUAUUAAAAAAGGAAAACUAAUUAAAAGGGUUUGAAAACUUUGAGUUUUAACGAUAAGGACAAAAUAAAGGGUAAAAUGAAUAGUAGCAGAUUUGACUUUUUAGUGUAAAAAUGUGAUUUUUCAUUAAAGUGAACAUUACCGUGGGCUUUUUGUUAAAACUCCCUAUUAAAAAUUCAAGUACUUUAUAAAAAGACACUUUGGAAUGCUUUCUUUCAUUUCCCGAUUGUUUCUUCUUCAUCGUUAAAGCUUCCAAUAUUGAGAUCAGAUAACCUUAAAUCUGUUGCAAGGUUGGACCUCAUCAGAUGAGUAAUCGCUUAACUCUGAAUCGUCGUCAGAGUCCUCCUCAUCAAACUCAUAUGGUGUAGUCUGCUAGUCCUCCUCCUCAUCAGUAUCUUCAUCAGAAUCAUAUGGCAAACGCUUAUAGUCCACUUCUAUCAGAUCUGAAAGUACAUAUUCCCAUUCUACGAUAUCCACUCCUAUUUUCUUCACCUUAAUUUGAUGAUCAUUAAAGUAUGCAAGCACACGAACCCUGUCGCCACCUUUCAGAUUGAGCUCCUUGUUUGUAAGAUUUCCCAUCCAAAGAUAACAUUCAUGGGAAGCAGUUACGGUGGCCUCCAUUGGCCAAAUGUGAAAACGAGUUCCCAGGGUACGAUUAACAACAUGAAUGCAUAGGGACCCAGUACAGUCUAACUUGUCUGAAGAAUAAAUGAUGCACACAACCAACCCUCCUAUAUAAGCAAAAGUAGGCGGCAUUUCAAUUUUGACAGUUUCAUCAUCUCGCGCGAAAUAGGGUAACGAGCGAGGAAUAUCAUUUACAGAGAGAGAAAGUCCACCAAUUACAUCCCCCUUCCAUUUCUACAACAUGAGGUGCAAAGUUAGUAUAAGCAACAAUACGAAAAUCAGAUAGGGAGAGCGAAAGUUCCAUACCAAUAUGAUGUUCUCCUUAAAAGUGGUAGUGAGACUGGUGCACCCUUCCAUAUGAAGGGUAUACAUGUCGUUGUUGCACAAGAAGUUAUCCAGGUUUGGAAUAUCUUUGAGUUUGCAGCAGUCUUUCAAUUGCAAUAUAAUCAUUUCCGACAUCUUUGAAAGGUCGGGCAUACUUUCCAGUUCAGUGCAGUAAUUCACUUCCAGUCUAAGAAAACUUGUCGGCAAAUCUGGGAUUGCCUGAAGGUUUGUGCAAUGAUUUAGAUAUAAAGAUUUAAGCUGGGAAAGGCCACUGAGGAUGGGUAGCCUUGUUUGGGUUAAAACUUGAAAUUUGGGCUCAAAAGGGAGUUGGCCCAAGAGAAGGUCUAGAAUGAGAGAAGCCCAAAGCUCAGCCGAAGCCCAGAAAGCAGAAGAGGCCCUUUCCCGACUAAGUGCAAAUCAUUUGCACCACUUGCUCACCUACCUAGAGGUUAAGUGGUGUAGACCAGCUAACUAAUCAGCCCAAAAGUACUUUAUAAUGGCAGUACAAGUAAAUAGUUGAUGAGUCACUGCCCUUCAAGCUACAUUCAGGCAAGAUUAAUGCUACAGGAGGCCAAGCCAAACUGUCUAUAAAAGAAGAAAGAGAAAUCAGAGAUAAACACACUCAAACAAACAAACAAAUACACAAACUCUGCUCAAACCAGAUUUGCAUACAAAGCUGUAGUCAGCAUCAAGCCUUCAUCCCUUUCGGGAUCAACCUUCACCAAAAGCCUUUGUAAAAGCUCUGCUACCUUGUCUAAAUCUUGCUCUAGUAUCAAUUUCCUUCUGUAAACUCACCUCCCUAUCCCCCUCUCUAGCUCUCAAACCCUUUUGUAAAUCACAAAGAUAGGAAGUUGCAAGACGAUCAGCCUUGCCCGACCCUCUUUGUUUUUGUCUUUUCAUUCAUAAAUCUAGUAAUAUGUUGUAUACUGCCAUUUGUAUCCAAGUUAUUUCUAGCAAGUUUAUGAUUAAAAGACUUCUCAGUUCUUGAAUCCGAUCGGGUUAAUAGUGCCCAACCAUGCAAAAGAUAAGUUGGAAUAUGCACUCGCAGCUUAAUAAGAUCUAAGUUCUAAUCUCUCGGGCGUACAAGAUUGAUUAUUCAAAAGUCCUUAGUCUCAAGGCAUAAAAAAGAACUUUAUGUGGACUUAAUCCAUCCACGACAAUCCUUGAUAACAAGAAGUCCGAAGUUGCUUGGGGCGCAAGUAAUCGACUUAUUUAUUAGUUUUAUCUCUGUUAUAUUAUAAUCAUCAUAGAACGUUUGAGAAUAGAAUUAAUUCUGAUAGGAAGCCUUAAGGCUUAUACCUAAGGCCCUACAAAGGCACCUAUUUGAGUUCAUUCUGCUCUUCAGGCUCGGGUGAUUAGAAGUAUAAUAGUUAUAAUACUCUGCAACAAUGAAACAACCAUUAUAUGUUCGAGUACUUGGUUAGUUCUUGAUUGUGAGCCUCAAGGCCUACACCUAAGACCCCACAAAGGCACCUUUCAUAACUAAAAUAGUCUAUCGGGCAUAUAUAAAAUUAAACUCAACAUCUGUUUUACAUCUGCCAUAUUAAAGAUGGCAGUGGCACGCCUGAGCACUUAAAAGUUAAUUUUGAUUGUGAGCCUCAAGGCCUACACCUAAGGCCCCAUAAAGGCACCUUUCAAAGUUAACUCUGUCAUUCUCUUUCAGCCUUGCCUGACAGGCCUUGCACGACAAGCCCACCAGUAAGCAGAAGCCCGACAGACAGUAUCAACCGGCGCCAACCUCUCGGGGAGCUGUGUGCUCGUUCGCUAAGAAACGUCCUCAUCGGAAAUUUUAGUGACGAACAUAGUUUUGGCACGCCCGGUGGGAUUCGUUAAUCAGAUCUUACUUGCCAAAGAAAUAUGUCAAGAAAACCUGAAGAUUUGAAAAGGGCAGUUGUUCCAGAAAAAUUUAAUGAAGACUUGCAAACUACCUUGUUGCAAAUGUUGCAGAGAUUGGAAAACGCCUCCACGGGCUUUAGAAGGAAAACAAACCUGGUUAUAAAACCAACUAUUCCUAUAUCUUUACCUCUAGUUGGGGACAAAGAUGAUGGGGAAGAAGAAAGAGGAAAAACCAGCCAGCCAGAGGAAGCAGUGGUGGAUAAAUACACAGAUCCUUUCUCAGAGGCCCUAGUAAAUAUGAUUAAUUUGGCAUGGGCCGAGAAGGGGAAAGAAAAAGUAGCAAUGGAAAUAGAAGAAGGAAAACCGGGUGACAAAUCCACAAAAGGGGUAAUCAAAGUGCCUGAACAUCCAAAAGCAGCUAUAAUCAAAGGGAUGGUUCUUUGCAGUAAAUGCCAAUGUGAGUGUGAGCUCGAAAUACCGCUAGCUGGAAUCCUCAUGGAUCAUGAGUUGAUCAGGAGGAAAGAAGAAGAAGAAAGAAAGGAGGCCCGCGAGAAAGCUAGGAGGACAACAGGGAGAGAUACUUCCCGAAGUGUUUUUCAGCGGUUAUGAGGUGAUUCCCAACCUAGAACUUUAUCAGAAAUAUUUCGAAAUCAUGAAGCUUCUGAGGAGGAGGAAGACAAGGAGGCCAAAAAUCCAAAAGAGAAGGGUAUAGAGCAUCCUCAAUAUGGCCAUAUGGGAAGAGAAGUCAAGAGGAAUGAUAGGAUAACAAAUCCUGUCAAAAAAUAUAAUCCUGCCCGCCUCGGGCGAAAAUGGUACAUGGUUGGAAAUAAUGGACAGCCCACCAAACAAAUGGGAGCCUCUAUGGUCAUAAGGGUCCAAAGGCAGCACAAAGCCUACAUGAACUUUUUAAAGAACCCCGCGACUUCUGAAGCAUCCAAGAAUCAAAAGUUUGAAAAAACAUCAUCUGGGGGGAGUAGUCAGUUCCACUGGAUAAGUAAAAAAGAGGUGGAGAGGGCUAAUAGCAAAACAGAAGGCGAGGGAAACCAUGUACCACAAAGCCUACAUCCUGGAAAGUACAAAAUAUUGAGGAGAGCUCAAGAAGAUAUGAUAAUGAUGCCAACUCCCGGAUGGAAGACAUAACCUAUUUGUUUUGGAACUGUUUCGCCCGAAAUGAGACCACUUUCUCUAUUUUUGGUGGAUUCUUUCGGUAAAAUUCCAAAGCAAAUACCGCAUUCGGGCAUGAAUCAACAGGAGGGGGCACCAGAACCACUACUCCCAAAAGAUGCGAUGACCUGGUUGGAUGAGUUCAUGGGCCAGAUCGAAAGCAAGAAAGAAGACCUUCCAGAGCCUAGCAAUUUUCAUAUCAAUAUGGCGUAUGUGUUAUCCGCCAUGUUUGGUGUCGAGCCUAAUCAGCCCGCCACUAUGGAAGGGGACUAUAUGACAACGGAGCCAAUGAUGGCCCAUGUCAGUGUUGAGGUAGCUGGAGAAAGAAAGUCGGGAAAAGCUGAAUCAUCUGAAGCAUCCAAUGAUGGUCCUUUAAGGAUUUAUACAGAUAAAAUGGUGUUCAGUCGCCCAAACAUGUUGCUAGCCAACCACCUUAAGCCAAUAUAUGUUGCAGCACAUUUGAAGGGGGUGCCUUUUAAAAGAAUUUUAAUUGAUGGAUGAGCGGCUGUUAACGUACUGCCAGACAAGCAAAUGAAGAAGAUGAGGAGAUGUAUAAAAGAUCUUAUUCCCACGGACCUCACGGUUUCAAGCUUCUCGGGCGCCAUCACCAAAACUCAUGGAAUAUUGCCCUUAGAAGUGGACUUGGGGUCCAAACAAAUCAUGUUGGCAUUCUUUGUGGUGGAUUGCACUUCCACCUAUAGAGCAUUACUUGGAAGGGACUGGAUCCACCAAAGUCUCGCCAUACCCUCCACUCUACAUCAGCAAGUAGUUGUUUAUCAUGAGACAGAGACAGAGGGACCAGGCUUUUGGGAGAUGGUAGAGGCCGAAUCACGGCCAUUUCUCCUUACAGCCAAUGUUGCGGAGGCAAGUUUCUACAAUCCCAACGUAGGAAUUCUGAAAUGUUCAUGAGCAGAUGAGAACGGCCGCCCUACCAAGGUGACGGCCCAAAAGCUCUUAGAACAAGGAAUGCUCCUUACUAGAGAGGAGUGGGAUAGACCCUGUAUCGUCUCAACGCCCCUACACCAUCAAUGACAGAACAAAAAAGGAAGGAUCAGGUAAUGGUAGUUAAGUCCCUGAUAAAAAAACUAUUGGUAUAUGGGAGAGAAAGAAAGCAAGAAAGGGAGCUCUUAGAGAAAGAAGAGCAGGAAGGGUAGCUAGGAACUCCAACCAACCAUGGUGAAAUCGGAGAAGAGCUUUACGGAGAAGAAUUGGAUGUGGCCAUACGAAUGGCCGAUUGCAUAUAUGACUUGGAUGGGCCAGACGACUUGCCCGAAAGCCCGGAGUUAGUUGAAUUUUUGUGCACAGAACCUGACAAAGCACUUCCAGAGGUUCAGGAUCCUUUGGAAGUCAUUGAUUUGGGAACAGAAUGAGAUCCAAGACCUAUUAAAAUUAGUGGCUUGUUAGAGACUAAUGAUCAGGCAAAGAUUAUCUGUCUUCUACAAGAAUUUAAAGAUUGUUUUGCUUGGCACUAUACUGAGAUGCCAAGUUUAUAUUCAACCUUGGUGGAACACAGAAUGCCCAUCAAUGAGGGGUAUAAACCUGUUAAGCAGACGUCACGAAGGAUGUCAAAGGAAAUAGAAGAAAAGGUCAAAGAAGAAAUUAAAAAACUAGUGAAAGCUGGAUUUAUUAGACUUGCCAAGUAUGUAGAAUGGUUGGCCAACAUUGUACCCGUUUUAAAAGUUAUAACUAAAGCAGUACGAUGUUGUGUUGAUUACAGAAAUAUUAAUGGCGCUACACCAAAAGAUGAAUACCCCAUGCACAUGGCUGACCUAUCCAUAGAUGCAGUGGCAAAACACAAAAUCUUAUCUUUUAUGGAUGGAAAUGUCCGGUAUAAUCAGAUAAAGAUGGCCCAUGAAGAUAUACAAAAAUAGUUUUUAGGUGUCCUAGGCAUGUGGGGCAUAUGAAUACCUGGUUAUGCUAUUCGGGUUCAAGAAUGCUGGUGCAACCUACCAAAGGGCAAUGAAUGCCAUCUUUCAUGAUUUGAUUGGCCAGAACAUGGAGGUGUACAUCGAUGACAUCGUGGUGAAAUCCAAAACAGAAGAGCAACAUCUAACAGACCUCAGGCAAGCUUUAACAAGGAUGAGGAUCCAUAAGCUAAAAAUGAAUCCAAAGAAGUGCGCAUUUAGAGUGAGAGCGGGCAACUUCUUGGGAUUCCUGGUUCAUAAAAAAGAAGUAGAAGUGGACAAGAACAAAUCUCGGGCAAUAAUGAAGUCGCCUUCACCCACCAACAAAGUACAACUUCAGAGGCUGCUAGGCAAAAUUAAUUUCUUGAGGAGAUUCAUUGCCAAUUUAGCGGGCAAGAUCCAACCACUGACUCUUCUGCUGAGACUAAAGGAUAAAGAAACUUUCGAGUGGGGACUACCACACCAAAAGGCUUUUGACAGCAUCAAAGCCUAUUUGACUUCUCCACCAGUGUUGGUACCACCUCAAAGGGGAAAACCCUUAAAGCUAUAUAUCUCUGCUUCAGAAAAAUCAAUCGGGAGUCUACUAGCUUAAAACAAUGAAGGCGGGAAAGAGCAGGCAGUGUACUACCUCAGUAGAAUUUUGACUGAGGUAGAAACAAGAUACUGACCAGUAUUUCACUCAUAUAUCUAGUAAUAUGUUGCAAGACGAUCAACCUUGCCCGACCCUCUUUGUUUUUGUCUUUUCAUUCAUAAAUCUAGUAAUAUGUUGUAUACUGCCAUUUGUAUCCAAGUUAUUUCUAGCAAGUUUAUGAUUAAAAUACUUCUCAGUUCUUGAAUCCGAUGGGGUUAAUAGUGCCCAACCAUGCAAAUGAUAAGUUGGAAUCUACACUCGCAGCUUAAUCAGAUCUAAGUUCUAAUCUCUCGGGCAUACAAGAUUGAUUAUUCAAAAGUCCUUGGUCUCAAGGCAUAAAAAAAAACUUUAUGUGGACUUAACCCAUCCACGACAAUCCUUGAUAACAAGAAGUCUGAAGUUGCUUGAGGCGCAAGUAAUCGACUUAUUUAUUAGUUUUAUCUCUGUUAUAUUCUAAUCAUCAUAGAAUGUUUGAGUAUAGAAUUAAUUCUGAUAGGAAGCCUCAAGGCCUAUACCUAAGGCCCUACAAAGGCACCUAUUUGAGUUCAUUUUGCUCUUCGUGCUCGGGUGAUUAGAAGUAUAAUAGUUAUAAUACUUCUGCAACAAUGAAACAACCAUUAUAUGUUCGAGUACUUGGUUAGUUCUUGAUUGUGAGCCUCAAGGCCUACACUUAAGGCCCCACAAAGGCACCUUUCAUAACUAACACAGUCUCUCGGGCAUAUAUACAAUUAAACUCAACAUCUGUUUUACAUCUGCCAUGCUAAAGAUGGCAGUGGCACGCCUGAGCACCUAAAAGUUAAUUUUGAUUGUGAGCCUCAAGGCCUACACCUAAGGCCCCAUAAAGGCACAUUUCAAAGUUAACUUUGUCAUUCUUUUUCAGCCUUGCCCGACAAGCCUUGCCCUACAGGCCUUGCACGACAAGCCCACCAAUAAGCAGAAGCCUGACAGACAGUAUCAACCGGUGCCAACCUCUCGGGAAGCUGUGCGCUCGUCCGCGAGGAAACGUCCCCAUCGGAAAUUCUAGUGACGAACAAGCCUAUUAAAACCAUUUCCAUCUAGUUUUAAAGUCUCUAAAGAAGGUAGACUCCGAAGGCUUUCAAGAAUGGCAUCAUCCGUUAUAUUGCAGUCACUAAGAUCUAAAUACUGAAGCAUCUUCAGUAGUGCAAAUAAAUGGUAACCCCCAGACACACCCUUACAUCUGUUGAGGCUCAAAUACACGAGAUGUGGGAGUUUUGAAAAGUCUGGUAAUUGAGUCAGGUUACGGGAAUGAUUGAGAUAAAGAAACAUCAACUUCUUCGGCAACUGUUUGGCAAAAAGAGAGAACAAAAAUCAUAAUCCAUAUUAUAGAGAAAGAGAGAUAGGGGGAGAGAGAAAGAGAGAGAAUGACUGUCGACUGGUAUUUAAAAAACACGGACGAGUAAAGGAUUAAUAAUUUGGUUGAGGUUAUGACAAUUAUAUGUAUCGUACCAGGUCGGAAUCCUCCCAAACUCGGACAAGCUUGUUGUAGCCCAAGUCAAUAAAAACUAAGUUUCGUAAAUCAAAAUCUUCGGGUAUGACCUCUAGAGGAAAUCCAUGCCAACACAAAAAUCUUAACUCCUUGGAAAGAUGACGGUAGCUUCCAGUGAGCUUUACAUAGUGGAGUUGGAGAAAUUUCAGAUGCCACAUCUUAUUAAAUGCUUUUGUGCGGAAGGGAUGGUCAUGAGUGUUUUCAGGCAACUCUAAAGUUAGCCCUCUAAUUGCUUCUGUUCCCUGUUAGGGGAAAACAAAAACAAAUCUAAUUCAAGCAAAGCCAUGACUAUCUAUGAAUGAACUACAAAUGCAGCACAUACAAUGCAUUAGAUAGGGGAUAUGCAUAUGCUUCUGUUUAUUUACAUACAUUCAACUUAUACAUUUUUUAUUGGGAUUUGGGAAAGUACUUACAUAUUCGUCUCUAAACACGCUUGUUAUGUCUUCAUGAUGCCACAAUCGACUACGUUUUCCAGGUUCCGUAGCACAUUCUACCCGCACAAUUUCUCUUCCCAUGUCUUGAAUCAAAUCAUGCAUCUUGAAGAAUGAUGAAUCAAAAUCUAGAAGACAUUGAUCUUGAAGAGUUCGGAUUUCUGAUUCUACACAAAAGCGACUACAAUUAUCCAAUAUUGCCACGACUUCAAUUCCAAAUGAGUUAAUAAAGAUAUGAGAUAUGUCAAGGAACACAAGCUUAAUCUAAGUGUUUCAUGAAUUUUUCCAUGUGUAAUGUUUCUCAAUUUAUCCAAUGUCAUUUUCCAUAUGCUUUUACUCUUUUUCAUAGCCAACAAAUGGCCUACGACUUUAAAAGCUAGCGGCAAUCCUCCACAAUAAUCGACAACAUCUGUUGCGAGUUCAAUAUAUUCUUUAUCAGGACAAUGAUUUCCAAACGCAUGCCAACUAAGGAGUUCAAGAGCUUCUUCAUCUGUCAUCGUUUGUGCCUUAUAAAUUUUAUCCACCUUCUGUAUAUUCAACACUUGUUCAUCUCUUGUUCAUCGUUUGUGUCAUCAACUACGAUUAGUACCUUCAUGCUUCCAAGUCUUUUCUCUAUCUCCUUGGUCCUUUCGGCAACACUACUUAUUUUAAUGUCAGGUCGUUUCAAAAUAUCUAGAAGAAAUUGUUCUUGAAGACUAAUCAUAUUUUUCUUUUUACUCCUCACCUCUUCAAGGUAACAUUGACCACGGAAACUAUGAUGGUAUGUGACAUAUGCUGCCCAUACACUGAAUUCCAAUUAUUUGAACGUCCUGUGAACCUCCAACAUCUAAGUAUUUAGUACCGAAUUCUUCCACGCUAAAAGUUAUUCCAACUGAGUGCUUGGCUUCUUUUGAGUUACUGGUUUUUAGUAGUCCGAUGAUGUCCCCAACAACUUUCUGGAUAAAUACUCCUUCACGCCUGCCAAUUGGAAAUCCAAAUUAUGCAAACAGAUGAUUAAUCAUGCAACAACAUGAUUCAUAUGAACUAAAUGCCUUAUGGAUCACGACUUGGCUGAUUAGUGAGUGUCCCAAAAUCUAAUUGUACAAGAUGUUGCAAGCGAUUAAAUUUUGUAAAAGAGGAAAUUUAACAUGAUACCUGUCCGCAGUGGUUUUAAGAUCAUUGCCAACCAAAUCUGUAGAAGCCUUAAGAUCUUUGCUCCACUGCUCGACCUCAUUUGGGUCUUCAUCCCUUUCAUGCUUCUGAAAUGCCUCCCCUCUUGAUCUUCUCGGCACCUCAUGAUCAUCGACAGCUCCCUCAGGCACCAUCGGGACUCCGCGUAACUCUUUGAGAAGACGACAACCGCAAUCUUCGACCCUUCAAUUUCUCAAUCAAGUUUUCUCUGUAUAUUCUCCCCCUUUUUGAGCUCGUAGUCUAUAAACAUGUUGAUUCCAGCACUGCUUAACGCAAUGGAUAGGUGGUUUGUGAACCCAGUGCGUGUGUCCUCGCCUCUAAAGCUCAGGAACACCUUGUACUUCCAGCGGUUUGAACGCCGAGAGGAAGACGAACCGCCGGCGGCUGCGGCGGCGGUUGCAAGGGCGGGGCUGCUGGUAUUCAUUGAUUUCAAGUAAAGAAGUGAAACUCCUGAUCGUUUCAGUCUAAAGAAAACAAGUCUUCC